rnacentral:lncRNA from 1 species
GGAGGAAACAAUAUUCUGAAAAUUACUUUAAGAAAGAAUGACACUUUAUAUGCAUAAAGUCCAUCAUUUACAUCUCUAAAUCAUCAACAAUUUCGUAACAAUCCAAUCACACAAAUGCUUUGGAACAAAUCACAGUAUAUUAAUAACCACCAAAUUAUUUGCCAGGGACAAAGUUUGUUGCAUAUGCCCAGGCAUUGUUGUUCACUGGAUCAGCAAGGUGAUCAGCUAGGUUCUCCAAAGGUCCUUUUCCAGUUACAAUAGCUUGAACAAAGAAACCAAGCAUGGAAAACAUAGCCAACCUACCAUUCUUGAUUUCCUUGACUUUAAGCUCAGCAAAAGCCUCAGGAUCAUCUGCCAAUCCAAGAGGAUCAAAGCUCCCUCCAGGAUAAAUAGGAUCAGUCACCUCCCCAAGCGGUCCACCGGCAAUUCUGUAGCCCUCCGCUGCCCCCAUUAAGACGACUUGUGAAGCCCAGAUGGCUAAAAUGCUCUGUGCAUGAAUUAAGCUUGGGUUACCUAAAUAAUCAAGCCCACCUUCACUGAAAAUUUGUGAACCAGCUUUGAACCAAACUGCUUCUCCAAACUUGACACCAUUUCUUGAUAAAAGCUCAGGAAAAACACAACCAAGUGCUCCAAGCAUAGCCCAUCUUGAAUGAAUAACUUCUAACUCACGGUUCUUGGCAAAUGUCUCGGGAUCAGCUGAGAGGCCGGCUGUAUCCCACCCGUAAUCACCAGGGAAUUCUCCGGUAAGGUAAGACGGCGGUGAGCCGGAUAAGGGGCCUAAGUAUAGAACUCUGUCUGGACCAUACCACGGAACCCCUGAUGAUGGUUUUGGUUUUGCUACAGUUUUUCUCAUGGUAACUCUUCCUUCACCAAGUCGCUCUGAUGUUGAUGGGGCGAUUUUUAUGGCUUUUCCUGCGAAUGAAGGUGAUGAAAGAGCCAUUGUUGAGGCAGCCAUGGUCGUUUUGAGGAAAUGGUUUUGAUCAGCGGUUGAAUGUGGAAGAAACUAUUAUAAUUUGUUGAUGAGGACUUUCUUGAAUGGAAUAUGAUUUUAUGGGUGUUGGAGAAAUGAAAAAGGUCGAAGGUCCUCAUCCAAUGCUAUCUUUAUCUUUUUUCCCAUUGGUGAGAAUAGGCUUUGGGAUUUUCUUGUGUAGUCUUCUUCUCUCUUUUAGGCUUCAAACAAUCUGUUGUGAUAUACUACUAGAUUUAUUUACACUUUUUCCUUUUCUUGAAAUUUUCAAGGAUAUUAGUUGCAUUCAUUCCAGCCAAUAAAACUAGUCCACGCACUGAGUUGAGAUGAAAGUAUGGCUUUUUUUUUUUGGUUUUUUCCUCUUUUGAAGGAUAUUGUGAAUACCCCAUUGGAUUAUUUGCGUACACUGAUUCAACUUGGUUGAGACAUACACAUGUUUUUUAUCAUAUAGGAAAAAAAAAAAAGAGAUGUGGGUAUAAACCUCAUCCCUCUACUAGCCGAAAAUCGAAAACACAACAAUAGCAAAUUUAUACAUUUGCCACUGCUACUUGCAUUCAUCUAUUAUCGAGAACUCAAUUUAGAAAAGAAAUGUACUAUACACAAUAUGGCAUUGAAAGUGAUGCAUUGAAAACGAAGGACGAGGGUGCAUUUGGACAUUCGUUAGAUAUACCUUUUCUUUUUAUGAUUUUACAGAACCCUUUGAAUCAAGGGAAAAGGUAGAUUAUGGAUCAUCAAAAAUUGUAGAGAUGUACCGCAUAUAAAUUGUCAAACUUAAUGCUUCAAAUUGAGCCUGAUGCAACUUUUACAGCUUCUGAUAAGCUAAAGAUAAUUGGGUCUAGUUAAGGGAUGGCCCUGAAGGUAUUCGUCAAGACAGGGCUCGUGUGUUAAUUUUGUUUUGUUUUUUUUUCAAGCGAAACUAAUUUAAGAAAGUAUCAAAUUCCAAAAGGAUUUUGGAGAGUAAUUUGACAGUAUCCGCAAUAAAGAAAUAAAUGUUUCCAAACUUGUAAGGCAUUGCUUGGUUUAAAUGCAUGGAGAAAGAUGGAAAUGUGACCAGUGUCCAAGGUUUGCAUUAUCAACUGGCUUAAUUUCUUAAAUAACUGGCGAAUUUUAGUUCAGUUCUCAUGGGAGUAUCGCAGUCCAACAAUGGCUAGAUCAAGAGCUUUGAGCACGCUGAAUAAAAUGCAGAAAUAGAUGACCUCUCGGCCUUUUGAAGAAAGAUGCAGCAACUAAUAGUGGAUCAAUUAUCAGCGUAUCAUUCGGCAAAAGUAGGCGACCGAUCUUGUAUUAAUACUGGAUUCUUGAAGCCUGAAUCUAAUCUAUCUACUUUAGCAGAACAUCAAGUUACCAGACCCUUUUUGUAGUACAACCAGAAGUGCAGUUAAAACAACAGUAAUAUCCAAAAGUAGUCCGACUGUCAAAGUUACAAAGAGUCAUCUCCCCAUUCACUUGGCAGUGAGGAUUUGAAUAUCUGUUGAAGUACCGAUCUUUUUGUUUGAUCAAGUUCCAUAACAUAUCUGCGGUGAGCACCAAGUUUCAAUGCCUUGUGCCCUUCCGUAGCAGCUCUUUUCCUCAAAGAGGAGAGCACGCCUUCUCCCGGAGAAUCGGUGCUGCUUUCUCGUGCCUCAUUUUCACAUUUUUGUCCAUCGGUUCUUGAAGCAAGGGUACUCCCAUUUGCUGAGUUUACAGGAGAUUUUCUAUUUCCUUGUGUCUCGUCCUUGGCAGUACCUGGGGUGUCCUUGCUACCACUGUUACUGCUGUUCCCCCACCAUUUAUAUGAAACAGUUGACAAGCCGUGUGAGGGAAAUCCAUAUUUAAACUCAUCUUCAUUGGUUGAAGUUCCUUUUGUCAAGUUUAACCCAGUCAACUUUGGCGGACUCCCGAUUUGGGGGUUCUUGUUUCCUUGGAGCUGCAUGACAGAUUGUGCUUUUGAAACUUCUGCCACAGAGCUAGUUGUUUUAUUUUGAAGCUCAGUGCCCGUGCCCCUAAUAGAAGGUAAAAUGAAAGAAGGAGAGAGUGUGAAGGACUGAUGGUCACAGCAUGAAAAAGGGAAAAACAAUGAAACAAGAAAACACUAUCAAACUCCAUGGAGAGUAAAAAGUUCGAUAUUUAGUGUUCAUGGAGAUGGAGAUAGGAAGGAGGGGCAAUGCAGAAUAAUGAAGGCAGCCUUUCUCAUAAAUUUGUCCAAAGCCAGCCAAAUAACUUGGAUAAUAGCCACAAAGAGUAUUAGAGAGCAAUCAACAGAAGCAGAAUUUUCAAAGGGAAAAAGAAAGAUAAAAGCACACCAAGAAGGUUAAAGAAAGAUCAGAAAAAAGUAGAAAGGCAGUGACAGAACUUAUGAAGUACAAAAUCCAGUUCCCUAUGGUUCAGAAAAAGCUAAAAGCUAGCCAAAUACUAAAUACAUAAACCCGAAGUCUAACUAAAGCUGAUUCUAAGGUGCUCAACAAUCCAAAAGAGUCUCCCUUAAGUACUUUGUCACCAAAUUUCUGAGCCAAUAGAAUAAUAAAACACCCUUACAUCUCAUUAAGAAACCAUCCUCAAUCUCCAAGACAAAUCAAACUUCAAACUAAGACAUAAAUUUCAUAAGAUCAUCAUAUUAGCACCACAUAGUCUCAGAUCUCAGAAGCAUUAGCUCUAACAAAAUGAACUAAGUUUUCUGUAUCAAUCUACUGGAAGCCCAUCAACAACAUUAAAGCCCCUUCUCCUCGUGAUGCUUCAUUUGCCCUAAAAAGCCUGAGACGUCAACCCAAAGAUAAAGCUAGACCUAUUCCAUUAGUGCUGACAGCUUCUAAAGUCCAAAAAAACAUUAGAAGGCCAGAGAUGGACAGAGAGACACUGAUCGUUAAGCUCUUCCUUCAAUAGGUUAUCUAGACAAGGAAGAAGUGAACACAAAGAAGAAAGCACAGAAUACAAAUCCUUUUUUCAUUGGGUUUCCUUGACAACCAGUCCCUGCAUGCAUGCUGACAUCAUCUACACAGAGCAUUUAGAAUACUAUUUUCUCUUUCUACCCUGGCUGCUCAAGCUUUUAUAUGUCACAAAAAUCCAACUUGUUUAUCAUCACUACAGUAUGACAACCAUCCAAUAAAAGGCCAAGCAACAACUGGAGAUCAGGUAAGCAGUAAGCAGAAAUGAGAGAAGCUCUUAUUUACAUAUCACAGGACACAGUUGGUGCAUUCAAGAUGAAGUUCACAUCAUAAAUAGCCAGAGCAUGGAUUAACCACAUGAAAGCUAUGUUAAUCAGUUUAGUACACUUCAGUAGCAUUAGUAGAAUCUGGUCCAGAAGCUUCAAAUUCACUUACGCAAGCAAUGACACUGUUGAAUUUGCUAAAGCAUCACUGCCUUGACCAGCAUCUUUCGGCACUUCAUUUAGUUGCUUGUUUUUUGCCCUAGCAGCAUCCUCCUUAAUUUGUUCAAUACUCUUCCCAGAAAGGAACUAGUCAUCCACAAAAGAAAUAUCAGCAUAUAUGAGGUUAUUAAAAAAAAAAUACUACUACAAGGAGGAAAAUAAAUUCUAUAUGAUUGAUUUGGAAUUGGAAACAAUCCAGCAAUACAAAGAGUAGAAUGCACAAAUUUGUGCUCAGGCCUACUGGUCAGCUGGUGCCUAAGGUGUGUAUACUCGUUAUAAUUUUUUUUAAUUCCUCUUGCAGGGCCAGUAGCGCUCUCUAUUCUCCUCUGCUUAUAUGUACCUCAUAUUACAAAAUUAAGUGUACUAAAUUCAGAAUAAUUUCCCUUGAGCUGCAUUCUGAAAGAAUCCAGGACUAUAAAUAAGCAAUGAGUACAUGAAUUAAGCAAGUGGUAAAAAUUGCAUUGGACUGAAAACAUUGGUUGUCAAAAUUUUAUAAAGCAAUAGAAGGGGUGAAUCUUUGGUUCCUCUCUAGCAUACCCAUUGAAAAUUUUCACACAUAAAGUUUAACUUGGUCUGUGGAAUACAAAGUGUAAUGUAGAGAAAUAUAACCAAAAUUCCACACACUAUAAUUUGAGUUAUCCUAAAGAAUAAGACAGCCGUAUUGUGAUUCUGCACACUCAAAACAAAAUGUAAUCCAUCAUUAUCAUGGUGCCAAUGCAUUUACAGUCACACUGGAUCAAAAGGAGAAUAUCACAGGGUGUGAAGCCUGACCUUCCGAUGUGGCCAUCUCACUAGACCAUUCUCAUGGCAUAUUUUCUUUAAGACACUAGGACAAACACCUGCAAAAUAAACACAAAGGAUUCAGGAUAUCGCCCGUCUUGUUCUUCUUCUUCAGUAAGCAUGAUUUGAUCAAAUUUGACUUAAUCUUUUAGUUUAUGUACACGUUACACCGCAUCCAUCCAAAUUCGACAUGAUACCAUUUAAUUCUUCCUCAACCAGAUUUUAAAAUUUUCAGCCCCUCACGCUCAUUCCAUAUUCAAUUAACAUAUGCAAAACUAUAAAGAUCAACUAUGGCUUCACAGCAAACUUCAUCAAUUUCAGUUAUUCAAGUGCUAUACAGAAGACCCUAAAAGGCACUGAUCAAAGUGCUAAAGAUGCACAAUGAACUCAUCAGUUAUCAUAUGAGACAAAUAUAAGAACAUAAAUCAUAAACAUCUCCCAGCUUGAUAUACCAAAAAUCUUAUUAAAGCAGUACAAAAGACCUGUAUAUUCUAAAUCCUAGAAUGUGAGUAGCAAUUUCUUUGGCAUUAUACCUCAAUUUCACAACAUCCCAAUUGAAAGGGAAGCUUCAUUUUUCUGGAAAAAUCAAUCCAAGCCCUCUUCAAAGUUGAACUCAAGACAAGUAUCUAAUCCUAAAGUUCUCGUUUUUAUCUUUAUUUUCUGGGCUACCUUUUCUUUUUCUUUUUAUUGUUUUUGGGUUUUUCAUUAGUCAGCUGAUUCUGCAGCAAAAAGGGACCAUUUUGCGGGAAAUUUAGUACAAUAUGAAAAUUUUAAACAAUGAUUUUUGUACACUAAACGGAGCUGGCAAUAUUUAAACAAAAAAAAAAAAGCAAGACAGAUAUCGAAAAAAAUGUAGGAGGAGAGCGUACCAAGAGUGUCAGCAGCAUCGGAGAGGGGCAAAGAGAAGAACUUGGAGACUUGAUCGAACGUCAGAGACUUAGUAAUCGGAAGUGGAGCCGCUUUUGGGUUUGGAUUUGGGUUUGGGUAUGGGUUGAGGGUCGGGUUUGGAGGUCGGCUUUGCAGUGCACUCAUUAUUGAAUUUUUUGUGUCUCGGAUUUUCUGCGGCAGUCUUUACUCCUAAGAAGUACAGGUGAUUUUAUAACUGGGGCAGUUAAAACGUGCUCAACGACUGACGACUUGGGCGAAUAGUCGUAAGCCCCAAAACUUGCCUUGACACAGAGUAUAUUUAUUUGGAAUAAUUAUUGUAAUAUUUUUUAUGAUGUGAUAUAUGUAAUAUAAAAAAAUAAAUUAGAAAAUAUAUUUACAAUAUAAAUAAAAUAUUAUCUGGCAAAAUUGAGCUAUCCAACUCAAGUCAAUACUCUUAUGGAGUCGAAUUCGAACACGGCUACCUUUACUUACGAGUCGAGCAUUAGUGCUCUUUUGUAAGCACCGAUUUCAAGUUCCAGUGUUUUAGUACAAUACUAUUCGAACUCGACUCAUUUCUAUUCUUGAAACAACUAAAUGUUUUUUUUUUAAAUAUGGAUUUGAUCCCAGAUUUACUAGUUAAGUGAAAUAUGUGGUUCCGAAACCUUUAUCCCACUAUAUUUUUUUCUUUUAACUAAUAUUUAUCCCAACUUGUAUUUUUUCACCACAUGUGAAUACUAAUACAUGAUCACAAGCUAUACUGUCAUACACAUAAUAAUGAUUAAUAAUAAGCCAACUAGGAUGAAGGAUUCAAAGAUGAUCCAUGUGUAGUAUAUCAAUUAGGAGAACCAUCUUAUACUACUAAAUUGAGCAGUUGUCAAUUUCUUCUUCUUUUUAGAUAAAACUAUGAAGAAAGAAUUUCUAAUACGAUCUAAUUGUAACUCAAUAAUACUAACAACUAGGGGUGGUGUGAAUGCUAAGGCAUGGUUAGUGUAAGCACAAAUUUUGUUGUCUAAAAUAAAAGACAAGAAAACUUGCACAAAUAUCAAAUUGAUUAAGUCAAACAAUAAGCGGGUUACAAUCUCUGAAAAUUCUUGAAUCAAAGAAAUUAAUCCCCUGAUUCUUUUCUUCGAAUAGCUUCAAUUGAAGGGCCGAAAAGACUUGUUCUCCAAUUGAAAGGGUAUUUCCUACAAUUUCGGCGUAGAAAACGAUUGAUUUGAUGAUGGCGUCAAACACUUGGAACUUUGAGUUUUCAACACUGACAACAUGAGGAUUUGUUUGACUUGACUUGGACUUGGAUUUGAGGAAGAAAGCUCUUAAGGGAAUUUGACAGAGUUUCUCCGAAUGUUAGGGAUUUUUCUAUCUCUUUGCCUUGGGGGAAGACCUCUAUUUAUAGCCAAAAUAUGUAGGCUAGGUCUUCAAGAAAACCCUCAGAAUCUUCCUGCUUUUUGGAUCACUUGUUACCCAAGAAACCCAUUUAACUUGGGCUUAAAUAAUGGGCCAACCCAAAUAGUCCAUUGUGAAUUAAUAAAUCAAUUAAUUCACUCUAACUUAAAUGGGGAUUACAAAUUUAAUUUGAUUUAAUAGCCCAUAUAAUAUUGGCCCAAUUUGCCAGUCCAAAACAUGAUGGACUUCUGUAAUUUAAUUAAAUUUAAUCAAGAUCGAUUUAAUUUAAAUAAAUCUUGAGUAAAACAAAUUAAAUAAAUUUUCUUUGUCUACAAAUGCCCCCACUUCAAGACUCAAUUGAAAGCUUGCUUGUCAAUAGGGGUGCAAACGAAUCGAGCCGCUCGCGAGCCGCUCGCGAGCGGCUCGAGUCGAGCUCGAGCUGCUCGAGUCAGAGUCGAGCUCGAGCUCGAGCUCAAAACAUUAAGCUCGUUAGCUCGCGAGUCGGCUCGCGAGCUCGAGUAUAUAUAUAUUUAUUUAUUUUAUUUUUAUUUUUAAUAGUAAAAUUACAUAAAUAUCCUUAAUAUUUUAUUAUUUAUUAAGAAAAAAUAUUAUUUUAUUUAUUUUUUUAAAAAUAAAAUAAUUAUUUUUUAUUUUUUUCGAGCUCGAACUCGAGCUCGAGCUCGGCUCGAAUCGAGUCGAGCUCUCGAGCUUGAAAAUUACCAGCUCGUCGAGCUCGAGCUCGAGUUCGAGUUCGAUGAAAUUAAGUUAAGGCUCGACUCGAUAAGGCCAAAGCUCGACUCGGCUCGGCUCGUUUGCACCCCUACUUGUCAAGGAUUGAAAUCGAGACUUGAAGUAUUUGAUUUUUUUUUUUUUUAUAUAAAAGGAGGCUGAUUUCCCUUGAAUCACGUGUGGUCUACACCAAGGUGCAAUACAUAGGAUCAUUCCCUAUACAAUCACAAUGAAUUUGCUGCCUGCAAUUGCAAUUAGUCUCGGACUUCGGUGGCUUGGCAAUUGCCAAAACCAAUUCCAUUGUCCAAAUGGCUGCGCCGUUGAUCUUUGAAUUCCAUUGGAGAUUAGUCCAAGUGACUGCCAUUAACUUAAAGUUGCAAUACAUUAAAGACACCAAACAUUAAAGCUCAAACGUUCCAAUCAAUUUUAUUUCGACAAGAAUGGUCCCAUGUCCAUUGAAGACUUUGCAUCAUAGACAUUCUUCACCUGGAAGUUCCCGUAGGCGCCGUUUUACUUUCAGCAACUUCAAUGUAGCCUUGAGGGGUUUGCAUUAUGAAUCCUUCCAUUUUGGACUUUUUUAUUUAUUUAUUUAUUUAACAUUUGCUCAAGCAACAAAUUAACAUCGAGAUUGUUGGGAACCAGCCUGGAAACUUAUAGUUUAUGGUAUCCAUGCUUGAAAACUUCCGAAUUAGCUAAUCGAAAAUCACAAGGUAAUUUUCUCUUUGAUUUAUAGCCAUUCUGCACCCGAGUUGCUUUAAAGCCUUAGCAAAUUGACCCACGACACCAAGUUCCAGUGACUUCCAAAUUCAUUGAAGCUUUGAAAUCGGGGGCUUCAAGUUUUUGGACCAUUGUCAUGCUUUGCUCCACUUUCUCAAAACUCCUCAAAAUUUUUUUUUAGUAUCUAGCCAAGUAUUGAAACCAGAAAGUGCCAAAUUCAGGAAUGUGAAUUUUUCUAGAUUUCAAAAACUUCUUAAACAACAUAGUACCAAAACCAAUUUCAUUGUCCAAAUGGUUGUCUCGUUAAUUUUUUUGAAUUCCAAAUGUCCUAAGGGACUAGCCACGAACAUUGGAAACUAAAAGUUGCUGGACAACUUCGGAAAUGAUAAAAGAAAAGGUAACUCUCCACCUUCCAGAAUCACUCGCACGCUUAUGGUAACCAGCAAUAUUUGAAAAUGGAAGCAUCCAAUUGGGCAUCACCGCUUCUGUUGCAACUUGGUUUCAAGCUCGCACUUGGGAAAUCUUCUAUGACCGCAGCAUCACUCAAGCAUCUUCGACAAUCAAAACAUGGCCACCACAUCAUUCGGUGGAAACUUUUCAUUCAAUAUCUAUCAUGGAACUUACACUUUAGACAAUCUGAAACAUGGUGCCAAGAUUAGGAAACUCAUCAAACCUUGACACUCAAUACCGGAUAUAGUAAGCUUCCUAAAUUGAAUUGGGAACUUCUCAGUUCACCUCUCAAAAGUCACUUGGAGUUGGUAACUUCCAAAUUCAAAUUCAAGACAUUGCUAUAGACUCCUGCGAUUCAACAAUGAACAUCGGCUUCCUUUUUGCAAUCUGGUACUAGCUCCAUUUGAAGGAGCAAGACCCAUUGAAAAUUGACCAGCCGAAGGCCAAUCAUCACGCCGUUCUCUUGAAGAAAACGCCAUAAACAAGCUUCACUUUGGCCAGGUAACCAUCGAUAUUCCUUGCUGCUUGAAUUUUAAUUCUUGUCAACUUAUAUACUGAAUCAAAAUUCACUUGGAUUUCAUCACGAAUUUAGCGCAUUUAGUGAAAUACGCUGAAAAUUUGCUUGUCGAGACCGCUGCUCAUUUAAUCUCUCUUUUUUUUUUAUUAAGGCUGCUGAAAACCGGGCUCCACCAAACUUUAAUAUAUACAUAUAUAUAUAUAUAUAUAUAUAUUUUGCCGAAACCAUUCAUGUAACCUUCACCACGAGCAAGCCUCACAUUGCCCAGGUAUCACCCACUUUCACUUUAACUUAAAUAUUGAGUCAUUAUAACUCAUUUUGCUGAAUCAAAAUUCACCGAAUUGAGCCAUGAAUCAAGCUGAAAAUUUGCCUUUCCAGUGAAACUAGGUGAAAAAGUUUGUUGUCUCAGAUUGAACGGACACACCUUCAUGCAAUAACCAGUGAUUUUUAUGCUUGUGGGAUUAAAAUUUUCAAAUUUGGGUUUUAUUAGUGUCCCCAAAUUGUUGAAAUCUGCAUGCUCUUUUGAAAUUUAAUGGGCAUAGAUUAACAAUUGAAUUCGGGGCCAAGAAACUUUAAGCAUCUGAUUACUCUCUUGCAUGCAAAAUGCACGUGUUUUCUUUCCACUGCUGCAUACCAUGGCCUUCUUGAUUCACGGCCAGGUCCAUACUGCUUCUUUAUUCAAAUUGCAAUUCAAGUAGUUUGCAUGCAAUUUUGCUGAUGGUAAUUGACUGGAGCAACACAUGCCCGCGCCACGUCUUUUUCUUGAAUGUCUAUUCUUGCGAAGCAAGGCAAGAUUUGUCGUUGAUGAUUUUUUUUUUCCUUUUUUUUCCUUAAACAAAAUUAUGGCUGAAAAUUUUUUUUUUUUAAGCUGACGUUGGCAUAGCUUGUUUGAAGCAAAUUGACGUUCCAAUUGUGUCCACAAUUUUAGGACCAUAGCUCUUGGAGUUCAAAAAGCUAAGGUAAUUCACAUACCUUAUGGCUUUUAUUUCUUGUCAAUGCCAAUUUUUUUUUUUUUUUGAUAUGAGAGAAGGAUCCCCGACACAUCCUGUAUGGUGGACAUUUAAUUUGAAGAAGCCGCAACCGCAAACUCCCACGAGAGCCAUAUUAUGGCUUGAGGAGUACGUGAAGGAGAUGACGCGACCAAAAUUUGAAGAAGGCGCAACCGCAAACUCCCACGAGAGCCAUAUUAUGGCUUGAGGAGUACAAAGGAGAUGGCGCAACCAAAAUUUGAAGAAGGCGCAACCGCAAACUCCCACGAGAGCCAUAUUAUGGCUUGAGGAGUACAUGAAGAAUGGGACAUGAUUACCUAAUUCAAUGAAAACUCACCAAAAUUCAAGAAGCCUUUUUACUACUUUCACUCCUGCUAUUUUAACCAAAUUUUCCUUUUCUUGCUUUCGCUGCAAGUUGAUCUUGAUACGAUGGUGAUUUUCAAGGAAGUCAUGUCUUCAGACGAAAAGUAUCUCCUUAUCGCCGACAGCGAUGGUGACUCUGGUGAUAAAGGAACGAAAUUAUUGGUGCAUCCCCCUAUACAAGGAUCUUACUCGGGUAAGUGGCCUUCUCACCAGUACCCAGAAUUGAAGGACUGGUCACUUGAACUUUCUCAGGAUGACGGCACGAAAGUCCACUCCUUGAGAUCCCUUAUUCACAGUAAGGAGCCAAGGACAACUCCCUUUCAGACCCUUGGCAGGCGGAUCAUAGACGGAGAUGCACACUGGGGUCCUUCCUUGAGACUCAAUGGUGCAUUUGGUUACAUCGAGAAUUACUGGAAGUGGUUGGAGGAUAUUCUCGGCAGAAGCAAACAAGUGCUCCGUGAAAAUUACUUGUUUGACGCCUUAUAUGCUUCACUUUUCACAUAUGACAGGAAUCCCCAUGUACUUAGGGCAUUCUGCGAGGCGUGGUGUUCGGAUACUAAUACCUUGCAUACAUCUGUCGGGGAAUUGUCUCUCUCACUUUGGGACUUGCACAAGUUAGGAGGACUUCCAAUCAUUGGGGGUAUCUAUGAAGAGGUAAUUCCAUGCGCGGAGGAGUUGACUGGAAUAAAUGAAAAGAAAUUAAGGCAUAUUCCACAAAACUGUGAGUAUUUGUUCGCAGCCUUACAUCAUCUUCAACAUGGAGAAUCCAACAAAACUGGAGUUUCUGCUGCCCAAUGGAUUAAGUUUUGGUUUAAAGGCAAAAGCAGGUACUCAAAGCCAAAGCAGAGAAGGAUAAAGAGGGCAUCUCGUGCUCAAGCGACCCAAAAUUCGGAUGGCGAAAUUGGACAACCACGCAAAUUUUCAAGUCAAGACAAUGGCGUAUUUGACACCAUCGGAGUUAAACUUCACUUGCGGGAAGAGACCUAUCUUGCAGCAUUUAUAUCUUGCUGGCUCUGUGUCUUUGCUUUACCUGAUGAGGACCUCCAUUAUAUUAGACCAUCUACUUUUAAAAUGACUAGUAUGAUGGCUGCCGGUUGUAAGACUUGCCUUGCUGUUCCUGUCCUGCUAAACAUAUACCGUGGGCUUGAUAAAAUUUCAAACUCAACUACCCCAGGGUGUGCACGCGCGGCUUUUCCGGUGCACUAUGUAUAUGCUUGGUUAGCGAGUUAUUUCUCCACCCAUUAUUCGACUCCCAAUACCAUGCCUGGACCCACAAUGACCAACUUUUCUGGAGAGGGUGGUGCAUGAUAUUUUGAUGAAAAUAGUGCUCGCGACCUCAUUCAUCAUGGAGACAAAGCAACUUGGGGAAACACUUUUCUUGUGAAGAACCGCAAUGAACUUUUUAUUGACAAUGGCAAAUUAGCGAAUCUCGAACUAAGUUAUUUUGUAAGUGCCUGUUCAAAUUACUUAGUUUCGCAUGCUGAAGGGGAUUUCCUUGUUGAGCCAUACAGUCCAUACAGAUUCGCGCAGCAAUUCGGAUUUUAUCAAGUUCCUCCCCAGGAACUCGGGGCAGAUGUUCGUUCCACAAAUUAUGACUUGAGUCGAAUACUCUGGCGCACUGCCAUUCGCAGUAAAACAGAGUCAAUGGUACUUUUUCCUAGCUAUCCUUUGAAUGCUAGCAAACACGCAUCUUCGGGCUUUCGGACAUGGUGGGCUAUGGUGCAUGAUGAUCAUCUCCUCAAAGGGCGUGAUGCUUUGAUUAAGAGUGUCCAAUCAAAUGGGGAGCAGAAGAAGUCGAAAGGGAAGGAACUUGCAAAUCUGAACAAUGCUUCCAAGGUUGGCAAUAGUUUUGAGAUGAAGCAAAAGACUAUGAGAAGCGAGAAGGAGAUUUUGACGAGUUCGAACAACAAGACUACUUCCCCUGAGGACCUUACUCCUAAUGAAAGAUUUUCGAAGGGUACUUCAUUUCAUCUUUCUUCAAACAUUGUGGAAACUGUUGAUCAUGAUUCUUGCAAUUCACAUGAGAAGAAGAGGAGUGAACCUUUUAAUGAGGAGGAUGAGCAAUCCACCAGUACGGACCAACAUUGGAAGCGCAAGAAGUCCAAGGUAAUGACUCUCCCAUUGGAUGACAUUGGUUUAGAUCCUAAAGAAUUUUUUAAAGACAUUCCAGAUAUAUCCGUGCCCGGUAUAAGCCGUGCCAAUAUUGUAAGGACCCUCCUUGCCUUCUUUAAUCUAGCAUUUGAAAUUUGCUUGUUAAUUUCAUAUUCAUGCUUUGUCUCACAACGUUUUUUCCUACAGUUGGAUGAUCAAGACUUGAUUUUUAUUGAUGAUGGAGAACCAAGUCAAGUAUCAGUUGAAGGACCUACUGCAUUUGAACUUUUGGCCAAACAAGUGGUCGGUUCUACCCAACAAAAUGGUGCUAGUGAAAAUUCCAAAAAAGCAAUAGAUGAUGAAAAUGUGACUCAGCAAAUCAUGGCACAGAAGGCGGAGCAUAUGACUCCACCGGCCAAAAGGAAACUCAAAGUUUUUGAUCCACCAUCGUGGCCAAGGGCACCUCGAGUAUCUGAAUUUUGCUCCCAAAAUGUGAUCUCAACAUGCCGCCGAAACUACAUCCAAAUGUUGUGGAAUAACUUGAGGGUGAUGAUAUCUCAAACAGUCUUGGAGCGCAUGCCAGCUCUUGAAAUGAAAGCCAACGAGAUCAUGGAGAAAAUGCAAAGCUUCAAUGCCACGGACAUCUCAAAUUUGCAAGGCCUUUUAAAGGCUUUCUUUGCAAAUGCAGCUCGUUACGUUGCAGUGAAAUCUUCUCUCUCAAAUAAAAUUCCAGUUGAAUCAUAUGAUGAGUUGGUUUCUACGGCCACCCAACAUCUUAGAGACGCUCAGAGUAAGGAGAGACAACAGGCGGAGAAGAUCUCAACACACAUGUUGAAGCUUAAGGAGAUCGAUCGCGAAGAAGUAGAGUUGAGAAAGCGACUUGAGUUCUUGGAUACUCACAGGAAGGAGACGCUUUCAUGGUUACGAGAAGAACAAGAUGAACUUACCCGAGUGCAAGGCGUGAUGGUCGACUUACAAAACGAAGUUCGAAAGAUUGAGAAUUCCCCGCCCCUACUUGCUGAGGAGAGUCAAACUUUGGACAAGAUGCAAGCAUUACUUGAAAACAACCGAAAGGAGCUGUCGUCAUUUGAAUUCGAGGAAUAGUUGCCAUCUUUUAUUUUGUUUCAAAUUUCAUCUCUUGUUAAUUACUCAAAGCGUGCAGCUAUGAGUACAAGCACUUCAUAAUGAAACUUUUUUUUUUCUUUUCAUCACAUUCUUGCAGACGUCCUCGUCUUUACUUGCUUUUUUCGAUAGCCACCAUAUUAGGCUAUCAACCGUAGUAUGAACAAUUCUAUCUUUGCAUAAUUUUGAUCACACUUGAAAAGAUAAUUAUACAAAUAAUUUGGUAAUCUGAAUAAUACACUUUCAAGUAUAUGUCACAAAAUAAUUCGAAUUGUCUUAAAGAUGAACGUUCUUUUUUUUUUAUCAAAAGAAUCAUCCGGGCAAAAACUUUUAGUUUUAUAAGGUUGUAACUGAACUUAGAAAUUGUCUUCUAAGCUGCCUACGUAUCCCAAAAGGGAAUCAAGUCACACGUAGUUCCUACCAUUCACAGUUUAAACUCUUGCGGGUCAGGAGUAUCCUUUUGUUUACCACCUUAGAUUUGGUGGAGUGUUUCAGCAGUUUAACCACGUGCUACACUAUUGGUGGUUGUUAUCCACAGUUUUAGCUCAUGCGGGUCUGGAGCAACAGGCAGUUUAGACUCAUGCGUCGUGGAGUAUUUCACUUUUUUUUAUGGCAUGUAUAGCUUCACGAAUUUCCCAUUUAUAGGACCAACUUUCACGCCAUCUUUGUCCACCAAUUUGUACGCACCAUUCGUGUAGACUUCUCGAACAAUGUACGGCCCAUCCCAUUUAGAGACAAAUUUAUCUUUAGUGCGAUGAGUCAUAACUAUUGACUUUCGAACGGCAAGUACCAUAUCCCCGACUUGAAAGGAGUGACGUCGAACUUUCUUAUUAAAAACUCUAGAGAGACGGGCUUGAUAGCACUCCAGAUUUUGUUGGGCCUCCAAUCUCUUUUCAUCCAAAGCUUCCAAUUCUUCAAGGCGCAGGCGAACAUUUUCUUCCUCCGUGAGCCCUUCUUGGAUAGCAAUUCUCAAAGAAGGAAUUUGUUGCUCAAGGGGCAGAACAACUUCUACACCAUAGACCAACGCAUAUGGCGUGGCUUGCGUCGGAGUUCGGUAUAUGGUGCGAUAGGCCCAAAGAGUUUCGCCUAUCCUUUCGUGCCAAUCCUUCUUUGACUUUGCCACCACUUUCUUCAACAAGUUACAUAAAGUUUUGUUGAAUGCCUCUGCGAGACCAUUGGCGGGGACAUUAUACAUGGAGGACUUGCGUCGCUUGAGAUUAAAUUUCUCAUAUAACUUAUCCAUCAAGCCAUUGGAGAAGGAUUUUUCAUUAUCAGUGAUAAUGUACUGGAGAACUCCAUAACGGUAAAUAAUAUUCACACGAAUAAAAUUCACCACAUCUUCCUUUCUAACUUGCUUGAGCGGUAUGGCUUCUGCCCAUUUAGAAAAGUAGUCGGUCGCAGCCAAUAUAUAUAAAUGUUGACCGGACGACUUUGGUAAUGGCCCCACAACAUCAAGACCCCAAGCAUCGAAAGGCCAAGAAGCAACGGUCGGGUGUAACGGCUCAGGUGGUUGAUGAAUGUAAUUUGCAUGAAACUGGCAAGUUUGACAUCUUUGAGCAUAUUCUAUGCAAUUUUUGAACAUAGUAGACCAAUAGUAGCCCAUCCUUUUAAUCCGAAAAUGCAACUUGGGACCGGACUGAUGAGCUCAACAUAUUCCAGAAUGUGCCUCGUGCAUCGCCCGAUAUGCCUCGUCUUCGCUCAGACAGCGCAACAGUACACCUUCAAAUGAUCUUCGGUACAGUGUGUCCUUGUACAAAAUAAAACGAGGGGCACGGCGACGGAUGUCAGUUCUCCUACGUUGCUCCUCAGGUAAUUUUUGAUACUUGAGAUAAUCAACGAGGGGUUGUCUCCAAUUUUCUUUGUCAAUUUCAUAGGUUGAGACCACAUGAGCGUCGCCUCCUUCAAUACCUUCAUCAUCAAUUAAUGAUGGGACUACCCACUUUUGGCAUACACGAACUUGUAUCUCAUGAUCCGGCAUGGCAAGUGAAGAGGCUAGCACAGCUAAUGCAUCAGUUUGCUUAUUUUCCCUUCUAGGAACAUGCUUAAUACUUGCACCUCCAAGCCGCUUCAUAAGUCGCGUUGCAUAUUUGUGAUACGGAAUUAACUCGGACUUUUUGACUUCAUAACUCCCCAAGAGUUGGUUGACCACCAAUAGAGAAUCACCAUAGAUUUGAAUGUCCAACUGUUCCAUGUCGACCGCUAUUUCAAGUCCGAGUAUGAGCGCUUGGUACUCAGCGACAUUGUUUGAACAAUGUUGAUUUAGAGUAAAGGAGUAUAGCAAUAUCCCUCCAUCAGGAGUCAUGAAUACAAUCCCUGCUCCAACUCCAUGACGAUGAGCCGCACCAUCAAAAUACAUCUUCCAUGGUGGACGAAUCUCAAUAAGGAGUACAUGCUCAUCUGGUAGGUCAUCACUUAGUUCCCAUUCAGCAGGUAUCGGGUGAUCAGCAAGAAAAUCUGCCAAAACUUGUCCUUUCACAGCUUUUUGAGACACAUAAAUAAUUUCAAACUGUUGUAGUUGAAUAUACCAUCUAGCUAGACGGUCGGAGAGCACUGGCCUGCUCAUCACAUAUUUUAUGGGAUUCGCCUUAGAAAUGAGCCUCACACUAUGCGCUUGAAAGUAGUGCUUUAACUUCUGUAUUGCAAAAAUAAGGGCUAAACACAACUUUUCAAUUGGCGAGUAAUUCAGUUCGUUGGGGGUCAUCAUUCUACUUAAAUAAUAAAGUGCAACCUCCUUUCCUUCAUUAUUUUCUUGAGCGAGCAAUGCCCCCACUGACCGUUCUUGGGCAGCAAUAUAAAGGAGUAAUGGCUUUUCAUGAAUAGGUGCAGCCAACACAGGUGCUUUCAUAAGAUAAGACUUAAUGCUAUUGAAAGCAUUACUACAUGCCUCAUCCCAUUGAAAUGGCACAUCUUUCUUCAUCAAACAACUAAAUGGUUGACACCUUCCUGCUAAAUUUGAGAUAAAUCUUCUCAGAUAAGCUAAUCGCCCUUGAAAACUUUUCAAUUCAUGAAUGUUACGAGGUUCAGGCAUCCUCAAUAUAGCAUCAAUUUUGGCUUGAUCAAUUUCAAUACCCCGAUGGCGAACCACAAAAUCAAGAAAUUUUCCCGACGUGACUCCAAAUGCACACUUGAGAGGGUUCAUUUUAAGUUGAUACCUUCUCAACCGAUCAAAUACUUGUCUCAAGUCCUCCAAGUGACUACUUUUUUUCUUUGAUUUAACAACUAAAUCAUCCACAUAACACUCGAUAUUCUUAUGAAGCAUGUCGUCAAAGAUACUUUGCAUUGCUCUUUGAUAUAUGGCUCCAGCAUUUUUGAGACCAAAGGGUAUCACUUAGGAGUACGAAAUGCAGUGAGCUCCUCAUCCUCCGGUGCCAAUCGAAUUUGAUUAUAUCCAGAAGAGCCAUCCAUAAAUGACAAAACUUCAUGCCCCGUAGUUGCAUCAAUCAUGAGUUCAGUGAUCGGUAAAGGAAAGUCGUCUUUGGGACAAGCAUUGUUAACAUCCCUGAAAUCAACGCAGAUACGGAUUUGUUCAUUUUUCUUUCGCACAGGCACGAUACUCGAAAUUCAUGUGGAAUAUUUAAUUUCGCGAAUAAACCCGGGUUCAAUGAGUUUAUUGACUUCAAUUUCGAAUCAACGGAAUCAAAUCGGGUCUAAAUCGCCGUUGUGCUUGCUUCACACGUCGAACUCCCUUUUUAACAGCCAAAUGGUGGACGGCCACUUUUGGGUCUAAACCCGGCAUUUCUUUAUAAGUCCAUGCAAAAACAUCUUGAUACUCCCGCAAGAGUUCAAUAUAUGCCUUUUCUUCGUCAGGACCCAAUGAAGCACUUAUAUAUAUUGGACGUGGGUCCUCUGAAGUACCAAGAUUGAACUCCUUUAGGUCAUCCACAGUGGCCCUAAUACCUUCCUCCAAUUCAAGUGGAGCGUCUUCAGCAUCUUCUUCUUCUUCAGGCGAGUCACCGUCGAUUAUGGUUAUAUGAUUGCAUGAAGCAACACUCUCUUCAUCAUUCUCCUUUGGUCUUGUGUACACCACUGUAUGCUCCCUGACCCUCAAUUCAGUCCCACACAUUAUUACAAGGUCUGUGCAUCUUCUCAUUCUCGAAGGAAUGAUGCUACCGAAUUUAUGAGGAUAAUCAGAAGGUUCUUCAAGAUUUUGCAAUGACUUUGCCAUUUCUCCUUUGCUCUUAUGUAAGUUUUGAGGUUUUCGUCUUCUUUUUGGUCCUAAUCUCUUAAAAACAGAUACCCGUGGAGUUUUAUUCUCCUUUUCGUGAAAAGUUUGAAAUUUACCAACUAUUUGAGAAGACUCAUCCUCCACAGCAAUACAUUGGCUACUAACUCUAUUGAUCUUGAUGCGGACUGGUGUAGGAGAGGAGUAGCCAAGGCCAAAUUUGGGACUUUCAACGGUGUAUCCCUUUUCCUUCAACAUCUUUUGGGUAGGAUUCAACCCAUGGAUCAUGUCACUAGUAGAUUGACGAGAUGAAACAUUUAGCACCGCAGAUUCUUUGAGAUCGUAUCCAGCCUUAGCGAGAAGCUUAUAAGCGAUAGGAUCAAAACCUUCUUUGGUUCUUGACUUUGGUAUGGUGUCUUGUUCAACUUCAGAUUCUUUGGUUAAAAAGUUAGACCUUUUAAGUUGAGAAGAUGACACCUUUUUUGUAUCAAGAUGAGCUAUCGGAAGAGUCAAAUCUUUUAGAGUUUCAUGCUGAAUCGCAGGUGACUGUCCCUGUUCCAUUCUUGAUUUGGGAGGGCAGCAAAAGACAACUGAUUCAUUAUUUGGCAAUGAAACAUCAGUUUCUUCAUGAACUUCCUCUUUUGAUUUCGAAGUCAUCACUUUCUCCCCUUUUGCAUUUGGAGAUUCGGGGUUCUGGAUUUUAUCCCCAGAUAGAGGUUGUUCAGUUUUAUCCUUCGCAAUGUACCUUUUGAUGUAAAAUUUAGCAUCUGCGAUAUAUGCUUCCGCCUCAGUGAAAGGAUUAUCAUCAGUUUUCACACUUCUUGCCACCCCGUUUUGACAGUACUUGAAGCAUUGAUGAAGAGUUGAAGGUACAACUUCAUUUUCAUGAAUCCAGAGCCUUCCCAACAAUACAUUGUAUGUUGUUUUAGCAUCUAUCACAUACAACAGUGCUCUGGACGUCAUGUCAUCAAUGACUAUCUCCAAAUUUAGUGACCCAAGAGCUAUUUGCCCUCCUUGAUUGAAGCCUUGAAUCAUCAGUCGGCUAUUGGAGAGUUCAUCAACCGGAAUACCAAACUCCUUCAGAGUUUUUAAAGGGAGAAUAUUGACUGCGGAACCUCCAUCUAUCAACAUUCUAUUCACUUUUUGCUCCUUUGCAUAACCAAUCACAAAUAAAGGACGGUUAUGCGGUAUUGACCCAAGCAACAAGUCUUCACUAGUAAAAGUGAUACUUGUGACAUUCACCUCUUCAUUGCUGGUAGGCACAUGACCUUCUUCAUUGCCAAUGGACGCAUAGACCAUCUCACAGAGAGAUUCACAAGCAUUAUCUUUUUGUUCCUCGAUAUGAUCUACUCGCGUUAUGUGACUUGCGACUACAUCAACAUCAAAGAAUUCUUUUGGCAAAAAUUCUUUUAAAGUGAUAGGAGUUCGCGACUUUUGCUUGAAGAUUCGACCUUCUUGAAGAUUACGACAGUCAUUAGUUUUCUUCACGCCCUUCUCUCUUUCCUUCCAGGUCACCAUACUUUUUGUUAAGACCUUGCUCGCCUUACUGGAUGGAUAAGACUUUCGCCUCCUUCUUCGCAUGACUAGAGUCCACCCUUCAUCAUCCACAUCAGGCUGUAGCGUCUUUUCAUCUUCAUAUACAUGUUCCUGAAGAGUUGAAUGAGCACCUUCUUGUUUGAUUUCUAUAGGAUCAAGUGAUCCAAAUUGAAUUAUUGGCAAUACAGACACCAUGACCCUUUUAUCCUCCAUGGACUGCAGGGAACCAAUGGACGUUUGAUUCACACUCGCCUUGUCUUCUUCAAGGAGAAUUUUUCCUUGUCUUGCCAACUCCAUUACUUUGUCUUUGAAGACAAAGCAUUUUUGAAUGGGAUGCCAGACCAAUCGGUGAUACUUACAGUAAUUUGGAUCGUCAGUAUUCCUAGCCUCAUCGGGUCGCUUCAUCUCAGGAAGCGUGAUCAAGUUUAUACUUAACAGAUCAUCAAACAUACCAGGGACAUCAGAAUCAAGAAAAGGGUACUCCUUAUCCUGCAUCUCCUUGAGAGUUGGUUUCCUCUUUCCUUGUUCUUGAUGUGCAUUGAUCUUGUUGUCUUCUCUCCUGGUAGUUUUGGGAAUAACCUUAAAGGGCGUUACACUUGUAGCCAUAGCCUCCUUCUUUUCAUUUUUAAAUGGUGGCUUGCCCCCUUUCCUCGCUUCUUGUCUCUUUUUGGCCUUGUGAGGGUCAGGAACUGGCGGUUCUUGUCCAUCAAGAUUAAUCUCUAACUUAUGGGCUUUUGUGGACAAUUCAUCAAAUGUUUCUGGUUGUACACCUUGUAAGAUGUAUCUAAGUCCCCAAUACAUACCUUGAAUGCACAUUUCGAUCGCGAAAGAUUCAGAAAUUCGAUCUUUGCAAUUUAAGCUUAGUUUCCUCCAACGGUCGAUAAAAUCAAUGACAGGUUCACUCUUCCAUUGACGUGUAUUAGAGAGUUCAGUCAUGCUGACAGUUCUCUUUGUGCUAUAGAAGCGACUAAGGAAUUCAUGCUCUAGCUGCUCCCAACUGUCAAUGGUUCCAGACUCCAGAUCCGUGUACCAAUCAAAGACAUUACCCUUUAGCGAGCGAACAAACUGCUUAACGAGCAAGUCACCAUCAGUGCCCGCAUUGUUACAAGUUUCCACGAAGUGUGCUAUAUGUUGCUUAGGGUUGCUCUUGCCAUCAAAUUGUUAAAAUUUUGGAGGUUGAUACCCCACAGGCAUUUUCAAACUUUCCACUCUAGCGGUGUAAGGUUUGGUGUAACCACUAUAUGACUUGGUACCUCCACCAAUCUUGUCCUUGAUUGUACCUUCGAUAAAUUCCUUCAGAUUGUCAACAUGAAUGGUGCCAUCAGGGGAGAUCGAAAAUUCCUUCGCGGCUUGUGACUUCGCAUCCUCUUUCUCCUUCUCCCUUGAUGAUGAGUCACCUUCAUCUGGCACUUUGGAUUUCUGUUUGGACAUACUAAGGCUACUUUCGCCUAUAUUUUUCACCAUAGUCAUUAAUUUGACUAUUUUAGCAUCUUGACUUUGAGCAUGCACUACUAGCCCUUCGACAAUUUUGGUUAGAUUCGAAAUCUGAUCUUCCACAGUAGUGGUGUUAGUCAUCAUGACGGGCAUCACCACAGAGGCAGCCGAAUCACUUGGGCUAUCAAUAGAUUCAUCAUGGGUUCCUUUCUUAUUGGGAAGCAUCUUGAGGUUUGCUUCUUCAGUCACAACGUUCGCCUUGGCCUUCUCUGCUAACUUCUUGGCCUGACUCCUUGUCAGAGGUGCAGUAUACUGCGUCUCUUGAGUGGUUGAGACAUCAGCAACUAAGCCUUCAAGAGAAAAGUUCACCUUCUUGAACUCCAUUGAAUUUUGAAACUGGUAAGUUGUUGGAAGAAAAGAGAUGAGAGGCAGAAAUGGUCCCAUCGGGCGUGCCAGAAAUUUGUAAGCACAAAUUUUGUUGCCUAAAAUAAAAGACAAGAAAACUUGCACAAAUAUCAAAUUGAUUAAGUCAAAUAAUAAGCGGGUUACAAUCUCUGAAAAUUCUUGAAUCAAAGAAAUUAAUCCCCUGAUUCUUUUCUUCGAAUAGCUUCAAUUGAAGGGGCGAAAAGACUUGUUCUCCAAUCGAAAGGGUGUUUCCUACAAUUUCGGCGUAGAAAACGAUUGAUUUGAUGAUGGCGUCAAACACUUGGAACUUUGAGUCUUCAACACUGACAGCAGGAGGAUUUGUUUGACUUGACUUGGACUUGGAUUUGAGGAAGAAAGCUCUUGAGGGAAUUUGACAGAGUUUCUCCGAAUGUUAGGGAUUUUUCUAUCUCUUUGCCUUGGGGGAAGACCUCUAUUUAUAGCCAAAAUAUGUAGGCUAGGUCUUCAAGAAAACCCUCAGAAUCUUCCUGGCUUUUGGAUCACUUGUUACCCAAGAAACCCAUUUAACUUGGGCUUAAAUAAUGGGCCAACCCAAAUAGUCCAUUAUGAAUUAAUAAAUCAAUUAAUUCACUCUAACUUAAAUGGGGAUUACAAAUUUAAUUUGAUUUAAUAGCCCAUAUAAUAUUGGCCCAAUUUGCCAGUCCAAAACAUGAUGGACUUCUGUAAUUUAAUUUAAUUUAAUCAAGAUCGAUUUAAUUUAAAUAAAUCUUGACUAAAACAAAUUAAAUAAAUUUUCUUUGUCUACAGUUAGAAAAAUAAAAACUACUAACAUUUGGUUAGAUUACAUCCACAUUUAGCAAGACCUCGCCUUAGACCCAGAUUAAGUUUUUUAGUUUCAAUCUUAACUAAUAGAUUAAGAAUUCAUCGAGGAACUACGUAAAUUUUAUACAACAAAAAUUAUUUAGAUAAGAAGGGUUAAUGAUUAAGUUUGAAGCUGUUUGGAUUGUCAUUUUUCUCUAAAAAAAUGACAAUGUAGCAUUGUAUUCUAAAAAAUGACAUAUUUUAAUAAAAUCUCUUGAAAAUAACAAUACAAAAACAAAGCUCAAAUCGUUUUGGGCAAAAAACUCCAGCGGCCAUUAAACUGUUGGCUGGAUCAUGUUUUGACCAUCGAACUAUUUUUUGUCAAUAAUUGACCACUAAACAACUUAAUCAGUAAACUCGCAACCAUUUCGUCGGUAAUUGCUCUUAAUUUCUGAAAUUAGCAUUACAUGUGGCAAAGUGCAGGGUCAAUUUUGUCCAACAAUUUUUCGACCGUUUACUUGCAUAAAUCCAUCAACUGAUAAGAAAAAAAAAGUGUAAGCCAAUUAAACUAACUUCCAUUCUCAAAAUUCUCAGCCACUGCUCUCAAAUGAUCGUUGUCAAGAUCAAGAGGCAACCUCAAAUCAAGUUUUUGCACGUCAGCCCUGCUAUGACUAAUGAAUUGAAGCAAGCCCUCUUUACUACUGCCAUCGUAGACCAACAAAGAACUUAAAGAAACAGAGCCCCCUGCUAAUUUUAAUAAAACCCCAUCCGCUAGAGUCCUAGAAGUCCUCAAUUCCACUUCUUUGAGAGUCUCUAAUCCCUUGAUAAAUGCUGAAAAAGACACGUUAUCUCCCACGAACUCACAGCUUUUCAGCUUCAAUUUCUCCAGUUUCUUGCAAUUCCUCCAUAGAAAAUUGAGGCCAUAAUCAACCCCUUGAGUUCCACACAGGGAAAGAGAGUAAAUUGAGUUUAGCAUCAAGAACUGGAGCGAAGCCAUUGUAGCUGAACAAUUCGGUUUCACUUCCAGUUAUAAAGACCGAGAGGUCUUUAAGAGGGCGGAGAGGUGCAAUCCACUGGAAACAGAGAGGUCUGGAGAGACUGAUGGGGAGCGAAGAGAGAUGAGGGCAAGAAUUGGAAAGGGAAAGCAGAGAGAACCCAGAAACGAGCUCAGCCAAGAAGCGGAGGUGACGGAGGUUGGGGCAAGAAGAGGCGAGGGACUGAAGGAGGUGAUGGGAGAAAGAGGAGGAGGAGGAAGAAGAGGAGUCGGUGAGCGAUAGAGAAGAGAGAUAGGGAUGGUGGGAGAGGAAAGAGGAGAGAGAAGGAAUGGCAUGGGGAGUACCGAUGAAGGCGAGAGCGAGAGCGACGGUAGAGGAGCAGAGUAGACGGAGCCACCGCUUCGAGACUAAGAGACAGACACACUGCAAAAGAUUUUCCCUUUCCUUCUCUUUGAUGGUUUAAUGAAAACUGAGUUAUAGGGUCAGUAAAUUGUUAGACAAAAUUGCCCUUACGCUUUGCCACGUGUAAUGCUAAUUUCAGAAACUAAGAGCAAUUACCGACGAAAUGGUCACAAGUUGACUGAUUAAGUUAUUUAGUGGUCAAUUAUUGACAAAAAAUAGUUCGAUGGCCAAAACAUGAUCCGGCCAAUAGUUUAAUGGCCGCUGAAGUUUUUUGCCCAAUCGUUUUUGUAUAAAAACUCUCGAAAUCCGAGUGCUUUAAUUCCGAUAAAGAUAAAAAAGUAGUGGCCCAAAUGGUAUCCACAUGUUGAAACAGAUGGGCCCUAUGACAACAAAAUCAAAUAUAACAGCCCAAUGUACAAAAUCACCAUUCCACUCCUAACCUGAUCCAGUAAUUCAAAAGUCACAAACUAAAGAAAGAGCAGUAUCAAAACCGUACGAAGGUCAGCGCAGGUCUUUAGCUUAGCUGGCUUAGUUUAGUCUUCCCCAAUCAACUAACCUCCGGACCCUGCUCAGGAAUGCAACGGACAGUGACAGAUUUCACACUUGUCCACUCCCGCCAUGGUCAGAGCAGCCUUGAAUCCCCAAAUAAAGCUCCAAUUGCUUUUCCUGUCUUUAUAAUAUCCCUUCUUUUCUCUUUCUCAGUGGGCAAUGUCCUUUGCAUAACUGUACAAGAUUAAUAAUGAAGAUUGCAAUUGCAGACACAUUUCUGACUAAAAGCAAAGCACACAGAUGCACAAAAAGCACUUCCUCCCACUCCAGAAAAAGCACGUAUGACCAAUCAACCAAAGAAAAAAAAACCAAAGAAAAAAGGGGAAAAAUCCCAUCAAAAUUCGUUUCUUGCUUCUUCAGAAACCGAAAGAAAAAGAAAAGCCACUAUUUGCCAUUGCCCCGCCUUUUCGCCAAAGUAUCUAGUGCUCAUAUAUAUAUAUACUUUCAUGUUCAUGUAGAGAUGGGAAUUUGCACUUUCUUGAGCAUCACUCUAGUUAUUGUUGCUCUGAAUCUUCAUCAUCUCGAUUAUCAUCAUAAUCAUUUAGUGGUGAUAGUGGUUGUGGUGGUGGAGUUAUGGCGAGUUCGAGUGGGACGAGGAAUGAUGAAGGGGAAGGCGGGGGGCCUCGGCGGAGUUACACUAGGCUUCCCACAUAUUUGGACCAAAAUGACGGCGACAGAAACGUAGCCGACAGCGAGUUGGUGCCAUCGUCCUUGGCCGUCAUUGCUCCUACUCUCAGGGUCGCUAAUGAGAUUGAAAAUGACAAUCCCGGGAUUGCUUUUCAUUGUAAGUAACUUUGUUUCAUACUUCAUACUUCAUGCCCCACCAAUAUUGAUUAUACUAAUGAUAUUGAUAAUUGCUGUCCACACUUUUAUUCAUUGAUGAUCAGGUCGCUUUUUGGUGCAUAGUUUUGCUUUGUUUGUUUGAUUAAGGGAAAUGUUAGUGCUCAGUUGUAAUGCGUAGAAUACAGCGGUCAUAAAAGUGUACAUAACUAUAGGAAAGCAAAAGGGAGUACAAUCCGUGGAUUAGUUUUGGUUUAGUUAGUUGAUUUGUUUUAGAAUUAGAUUGUUUUAAUAAAUUGGUUCUGUUGAGAAGGCUAAAUGAAGUGACAAUGAGCAUGUUAAUAUGUUGAUGUUUGUAUAAGCCAGGUCAAUUUCCUCAAAUUCUCAGUAUCUAACAAAAUCCCCUCUUGAAGAUGGUUUGAGAAAAUUAUAAGCAUGACGUCCGAUGAUGCUUGACUUAUUGUGAGAUUUCCGUGUUCAUUACUUACUUCCAGGAUCAGUUAUCUUUUACCUUUUACAGGAUUUUGCCGAUCAUGUAUUUGUUCAUGCCUUGCUGAUGUGAUUAACUUCCUUUAAUCAAAAUAAUAAACCUAUAUGUUGUUGAUAUGUUUUACUUGCACAUGGUGAUUCAUCAACAUGUCUGUGGUAUCACUUAUUACAAUGAAACAUGCUAAAAAGGCUGCACAGAGAUGCAAUUUUAUUCUUUUGUUAGACAGAUUUGUUCAUGUAAUAACAUUAUGAAAGACAAAAGGAAUGAUUAUGCACCUGAGGAUCUUCAAUUAACCCCUUAUCAUGAGUUAAGAAAGACUUUUGUACGAUUGUGUUUAGGACUCUUGACUGGGCGGUGAAGCAACUAAUCAGACAUCAUCUUCCUGAAGCAGCAAUAUCUUAUAGAACCAACAUUCACAAAAUGUUAAUUCAGGAUUGGCUAAAUCAAACUUCAAUCACUCUUGUCUGAGCAUUUUGAACUGCUGCUAUAGAACUGAUGAUUUGGUCACUGUCUUUAAGCCUCCUUUUUAAGUUUUGUGCUUGUUAAAAUUAAGGAUGAAAGGCAUCUGAAAUGCCUUUUUAGAAAAUAAUUUGAGAAACAACGGUGCAAUAGUGGUGCCUCUUCCUAUGGGGAAUGGAUAAUGGAUAGUCUACAAAAAACCAAAAGGUCAUUCUUGUUACAACCUUAGUGGGUUUACCAUAGUAGUUUUACUCUCAGAAAGGAUGUUAGAUGUGGAGAAUAAUGCUUUGGGCCUGUGCACCUCUGAAAUGAUAUAGAGCAAACAUUAAUCUUUAGUGAUUAAUUUUGUUUUUUUUUGGUGGCGGCCUGUGCACCUCUGAAAUGAUAUAGAGCAAACAUUAAUCUUCAGUGAUUAAUUUUGUUUUUUUGGUUGCUUGCCUUCCUAAAAUGUGUUGUCAGUUAGCCCAUGUAAAAGUUUCAUAGAAGGCAUUUUGCUUGUAAGUACAUCUCAUGAAUCGCUUAUUCCUCAUCAAUAUGUUUUCAGUUUCUUAUGAUUCUAUUUUGGGAUCAGGCCGCUUCCGUGCAUUCGAAAGAGCUCACAGGAUGGAUCCAAGUUCAACUGGCCGUGGUGUUCGUCAGUUUAAGACCUACCUGUUGCGCAAACUUGAAAGGGUAGACCUGAUAUUUUUGGACUUCUUUUAUUAUGCUAAGCGUGGUCUUUUUCUUCUUGGUGAUCAUUCACUAGACAUAUGCAAUCUCAUUGUGCUAUUCAAGUAUCCCAAGUGUUGGUGUUCUUCCUCCUCAUGUUUCAUUUGGCUUAAAAUAUUUUCUCAGUGGAAGUUACUUCUAAACUUUGACCACUAAAUGCUUAUUCAGCUGUCAUGAAAAGUGUAAUUGUCCUCAAUCCUUUCCUACAUGUCCACUUUUACAUUCUGCUAGCUUCUCUCAGAAUAAAAAUGGCUAUAUGAAAAUGCUUAGAAACUUUGUAAUCUCAGCCUUUUUUUUUUUGCUUCUUUUCUUUACCACUUCAUUAGAUCUUGAAGUACGACAAUUGUUCUACCUGUGACAUCGUCGAGGCUACUUCAUGGCAGAUUGGUUACAGUCAAAGGGUGCCACACAUUUUAGAUUUGGAUGAUAGUCAAGUGUAUGCAAAUGCUGAGCUUGGGAUGGAAGAAAUAGAACUUUGUUAGAAUAUUCUUAGAUGCUUGAUAAGGUUUUAGGAACAAAUUUUCGGUUUUCCCAAAUCUAUCAAAAUACUUCUCACAAAGUGAACUCCUUCUGAUGAGACAUGCACUGUAGAAUAAGGUAGAUGAUAGCUCGGAAUAGACAUCAGUAGGCAUCCAAGAUGCGGUGCUUCCAUUAAGUUGAGCACUUAGCUAUAGUAAUUUACACUUCCUGACAAGAGGGAUAACGUUGAAACUGGAGCACGUCUAAAUUUUUAUUGUUUUCAGGAUGAAGAACAGGGUAGAGGACCAGAAACUGAUCCCAGAAAAGUCCUAAGAUAUUACAAGAACUACUAUGAGCAAAACAUUAGAGAGGGCCAGUAUACAAAAAGACCGUGAGUAGUGAUUAAUUUUUGUGGAACAAAAACAUAUAUUCUCUUUGAUACUUACUUAUUUUAUUAAUUGCUCAUGAAUUCUUUGUUUAUCCCUGCUCUUUGAAGAGAGGAGAUGGCUAAGAUGUGCCAGGUUGCAACUGUAUUGUAUGAUGUGAUCAAGGCAAUGCUACCUUCUCACAGGAUUGACCCUGAGGUAUGAUUUAUGUAGUUUUGCAGCUCUUCGUGAGUUCAAAAUAAUGUUCAGCUUGUGGUUUGAGAGUUAAUAAGAACUGUUUGAGGCUUGUAGAUACACCGAUACGCUGAAGAUGUUGAGCAGAAGAGAGAACAAUAUGAGCACUAUAACAUUCUUCCAUUAUAUGCAGUUGGAAUUAAACCAGCGGUUAUGGAACUUCCCGAGGUUGUAUUACAACAGUGCAUGAUGAUCUUACUGUUAAUAGUACCUUUUGACCAGCUCAUUUUGAAUGUAUCUAUCCGUGCUCUUUCUCUGUUAUCCAUCGUAAUAACUUUUCUUAUUUGCUUCAUUAGAUUAAUGCAGCACAUCGAGCUUUACAGAAUGUGGUUAAUCUUCCUCCAAUCCGGAUGCCAGAGAACAAGUAUAAAUCAGUUAACGAUAUUCUUGAAUGGCUUUACCUCGUCUUUGGCUUUCAGGUAACUUCAAGAGCACACUUUAGACGACUCUUCCAGAAUCAAGAAUGCAAUCACUAGGACCUGGUUUUUCAUUUUGAUGCUAAGUCCACUGCUUUAUGGUGUUAAGUUACUUUCAGACUUCAUUCCUUGUUUCUGGCUGUGAUUGUGCUAAUUUAUUCAGAGCAUAUUGUUUCCCAAUCCAGAACAACAGAGCUGCUACCUUGCAUAUGAUUAUCUGGAGAAGUCAUAGGUUUUUAGGAUUUAAUAAGCUAAUGUCAGUAGCAUAUUCAUCUCUGUUUCAAUGAGUUUGGCUUCCUGAUCUGGUAGUGAGGAUCAAUACUCUUAGGAUUGUUCAUUUCACUUUAUCUCUCUCUGUGAAAUUCUUAUUUAACUUCCCUGUUGAGUUUGACAUUCAAUACUGGUCAGCUUAUCUUUCUAUGUUGGCUGACCGCAUUUUGGGGAAUGUAGAAGGGAAAUGUAGCAAAUCAACGAGAACACUUGAUAUUAUUGCUUGCAAAUAUGGACAUACGAGAUAGGGUGGAUGACCAUUAUGAGCUGGUAAGACUUAGUUGUUGCUUCAUAAGCAUCAAUUUGAACAAGUUUAUAGAAGCAGGGAGAAACUAUUUCCUUCUCUAUUUUUCCCUUUCAACUUUCAUUUUCAUGCUUUGAUGGUUCAAACAAAAAUUGUUGCAGUUGGGUGAUGACUCAGUCCAGAGACUACUGGAUAAAAUCUUCAAAAAUUAUCAGUCGUGGUGCAAAUAUUUACACUGGCCCUCUAAUCUCAUGUAAGCUGCUAGUUGUAGCUAAACGAAGCGGAUACUAGAUCCUACAAAUUCAAUAUGGUCUGCCACAGUUCAUUUUUUGACCUUUACUUUGUUCCUAUCGCAGAUUUCCUGAUGGUUCAAACAAGCAACAGUUGCAGCUGCUAUACAUUGGACUUUAUCUUCUUAUCUGGGGUGAAGCUUCGAAUAUUCGUUUCAUGCCAGAGUGCCUCUGUUAUAUUUUCCACAAUGUAUGUUUUUUGUUUUUUGCAUAUAUUACCCGGAGUUGUAUGUAUAUGACUUUUUUCUUCUUAGAAUUAUUUUGCCUUUUCUUUAGUUUCCUCUCUUAUUUAAUUGUUUCUUUCCAUUGUUCUUCUCAACAAAAUGAUAGUUAACGAAACUUGACAUCCUAUUUCAUUUACUAAACUUCUCCAGUGUAGUUCAAUUUCUGAUAAUUGUAGCUUCACCCCAUUAUUUGAUGCUGCAAAAUUAUCGAACUUCUUUGUCAGUGUAGGCAUGACUCUUCUUGUUAUCAAAUUCAGUAGUGUUUAUCUUUGUAAUAGAUUUCUCUGUUAAGAGGAAAUCAUCAUUUCUUUCUUGGUAUUUUACUGCUUGUUUUCUAACCAUCAAUCUGGCUUCACAAAGUACAUGGACCUAUUAAACCAGUAGGGUGUGUUUCUGGUUUGGUCUGCUUGGAUGCCACUGGACAAGGGUGUCCAUUAAGAUCAAUUCAUCCUGUUGCUGCAAAAGAUGCUUUCUAUGGAUACUAGGUGUAGUACAGUAUCUUGAUCGUUAAACCAAGAAUCUUCAGUAAUUGGAAUUUGUUAGUUGAAUUUCUUUUUAAUGAUUGCAUCAGAACAUGGAUGUCAGAAAUUGGAAUGAAGUUGAUGAACUAUUGUGGUAAAUGAUUGCAGUUAUAUACAAAGUUUCAGUUUUAGUCUUUCAUCUUGUUUUUGGUUGGAAAAUCUUACUAGCUAUCAGCAGAAUCAGUCAUUAAUUCUGCUUGUUGCUUACUUUUGUCUCUUUUUAUGGUCCUAAUUUCUUGUUUUCUGAAAGUAAAGAUGGCAAAGGAGGUACAAGGAAUUUUAUUUGAUGAUACUCACGCUGUCACUGGAGGUGCAUAUCAAGUAGCAUCACGUAGUGAGGAGCAUUUCCUGCAGGAGGUUAUAACUCCUUUAUACGAUGUCCUGCGGAAGGUGAUUAACAGAAAAUGCUACCUUUUCUUUGAUUUAUGUAUUAGCAUGCUUUAUCACCUAACGGAAAUAUCUUCACUGGAAAAGGAAGUCAGGAGAAACAGAAAUGGAAAAGCAAGUCAUUCAGUGUGGAGAAACUAUGAUGACCUAAAUGAGUACUUUUGGUAAUUUCUUUGACUAGGAGGAUUGAUCUUGAGCUUCAUGUAAACUCUUGUUGUUUGAUUUGUAAAUUGGCCUUCCUUUCUUUUUUAGGUCAGGAAAAUGCCAUAAGUUAGACUGGCCAUUGGAUAAAAAAUCACAUUUUUUUGUGCAUUCGGAUGAUAAACAGCCAGAAAAUGUGGUAUGUCUAUAUACAUGGUAUGGUGUUUUUGACAUAGUAUUUCUUCUCUUCACACCUUUUCUACUGUUACUGAGUGAGCAUCUACUUGCAGAGUGGUGGUCACCAUGUUGGAGCAAGAAAAAGAAAGCCCAAGACGAAUUUUGUUGAAGUCCGAACAUUUUGGCACCUUUACAGAAGUUUUGAUCGACUGUGGAUCUUUUUUAUUUUGGCUCUCCAGGUACUGCCGAGUGCCAUAAAUAUGAUUUAAGUAACUUGAAUAAUACUUUGGGUAAUUUUUUUUGGCCAUUCCAUCUUCUCAAAGUCAUCAGCAUAACAAAUGAAAGAAGAUGACACGAGAGAAAAACAAAUACUCAUUGUGAGGCAGAAUUGGAAAAAACAAUCUUGAAUAAAUAAUUAUAAAUGUAUAUGGACCUAUUAAACCCCUUAUAAUGUUUGAGAGAUAAUACUCAUGGAAGCACUUCAAAGCUACUCCUAAAGCUACCAUAUCUUCUGGUUGAAAUUGUAUCGUCACCUUGGCAGGUAGACUCGAUGACUGAUAAUACUUAAAUUACUAUUUCUGAUGAUAUUGGCAAGCCUUUUGAUAUAUAGGACACAGUACGGUCAGAGGGCAUCUAGCAAUGUGAUUUGAUGAUGGUGCAACAUUAGAAUGGUAGCUCUGACAAUCUAUUAAACGUCCAUAGAUGGGACAGGGUCAUCUUCCAACAAGCCUGUAGGAAUCUUCCUGGUUUUAGAAGCUAAGCAAAAUAUAUUGAGAUGAGGAAGAAAGAGAAGCAAAAUAAAUAUACGGCGAUAUUUUGAGAAUAAAAAUGCACAGAAUAAGAGAUUCAUGAAUUGAUGUCUUAGUAAUGUAGUGGAGAAAAGCAUUCAAACUCCUUUAGUUUUGACAGUUUUCUUCUUAUAUUAGCUGACUCUUUUAUCCUUCUUGUUUUGCUUUUAAUUAUGGUUUCAGGCAAUGAUUAUUGUUGCAUGGCAUGGGGACGGGUCCUUAGCUGGAAUUUUUGAUGCAGAUGUGAUAAGGAGCGUUUUGAGCAUUUUCAUUACCGCUGCUGUUCUAAAUUUUCUGCGAGGUAUCAGCUAAAACUUACUCAGUACUUGUGUUUGCCUAUGUCUUAUAUCACAAUUUCAAUUUGGUGAUACUCUUCUUGUUUUCUUCUUACCAUCGGAAGCCUUAAAGAUUUUCUUCUUUAUGAGUGUAUAAUGCCUCAUUCCUCUUGAGCAUGGAUAACAUCAUUUUGUUUUCUUUCUGCCAUUAUUACUGCAGCAACUCUGGAUAUAGUUCUUAGCUUGCGUGCAUGGAGGAGCUUGAAAUGUAACCAGAUAUUUCGCUACCUCCUGAAAUUUGCAGUUGCAGCUUUCUGGGUUGUAGUCAUGCCAGUUGCAUACUCUAGAUCUGUUGAGAAUCCAACUGGACUUGUCAGGUUUUUUAGUAAUCUUGGAGGAUCUUGGCUCUACCAGUCACUCUAUAACUAUUGUGUUGCAAUCUACUUAAUACCAAACAUAUUGGCUGCUGUCCUAUUUCUGGUUCCUUAUUUGCGGAGAACCCUGGAGCGUUCGAAUAAUUAUGUCAUUAUCCUUCUAAUGUGGUGGGCUCAAGUAAGAACACACAGCUCUUUUUGCAUCUAGUGAAUGUAGUUUCAAUAUGUAUGGUUUUCAUAUGUGGCAACUUUGACUUCCAGCCAAAGCUAUAUGUUGGAAGAGGCAUGCAUGAAGACAUGUUCUCGCUUCUGAAGUAAGAUAUAAGAUUCUUCUAUUUUGUCAUAUAUACAUACCAUCAUGUAAAAUGUGUACUAAUUUUAUACCACAGCAGCAAGGAUACGCAUGUCUUACUGCUUCCUACUUUUUUUUUUUUUUAAUCAUGCUGUUGUUUGGAUAAAUAUUGGGGGUUGGGGAAGGGUGUGUGUAAUCAUUACUUCUCUAUAACCAAAAAAUGAAUAUUUUCUUCCUCCACUCAGGUACACAUUUUUCUGGAUAAUGUUGGUGAUAAGCAAGUUAGCAUUCAGCUACUAUGUUGAGGUGAUAAUGUCCGCUUCGCUAGUUAUUCAUUUUUUUGACAAGCAAUACUCAUUAUUUACUACCAUAACCUGUAUACAGUUAAUAUAGCAUGAAUAUUUAUAACUUCUCUUAGAAAACCGUUGGCAUAUACCUUGAUGUGGAGAUUUACCUAGGGGGCCAACAUAUGAACCAACGAUGCAAUUUUUUUUUUUAAUCUUUCCAAAUUGGUUUUUAGUUUCAAAAGCUAUUCUAUUCCUUUCUGGCUAGUCUUCAGCAGACUCAGGAAGCUAGUUGCCAAGCUUCUUGUCACUCUGAUUCUUCCAAACUAGUUCUCCAGAACCUGAGUAGGUUCAUUGCCUCACUUGGCUUCAGAAGAAGUAGAUUUAAAAAUUAGACCUGUCAGCUGCUUUAUGAUGGUAGACUAAUAGAUGGUCUGUAUCUUCUCCAAGCAUUUUAGACCAACCCCAACUGAUUGGAAUUGCUUUCCUUUUUCUCAAGUUCUUGGCCAUAUGUAUGGCAUACUUUGCUGCAGUUCUGCAGACAGAUUUGCAGGGAAGGAUUUCCUCCCUUCAUUCCACUAAACUUCUCAACUGGACUUAACUGAGACACUGUCCACCUUAAUCUCUUUCAGCUCCAUAUAUAAUUCCCCGUUACGUAUACUGAGCUUCAUUGAGAAGGCCAACUGAGCCUGAAAACUGCUCCUUUCUCAAUCUUGUAAUGCCCAUCUGAACACCACACUCUGUCCAACUUUUUCUGCUUUGUUGUUCAAUUAUCAACCCUGGCUACCUUGUUACGGACAAUUCUGCAAAGAUUUGGAAGGGGUAGUUCAGACUUUAUUGUCAUCACUGCACAUCCUUAGCAAACCUUAUUCUAGCCCUACGCCUUACCAUCAACUUGACGUCAGCUGUGAAAUUUCCUAUUGCUUAUGUUACUCAUCCAAAACUGCAACAAGUUUCAGUUGUUCUCCAUCCUAAUUGAGUGCCUUAUCUUUCUGUGACCAUUUUUUUCCAUCAAUCCUCUUGUUCUUUGGAAAAUUUCCAUGGCAGUUAUGUAGAAGUUGAAUUUUUAAGUACUUCCCUAAAUGUUAUCAUUGUUUUGGAGUUGUUCAGGGGGCACUUAGUUUUUAUCAAUAGUCAUGAUGAACAACGAAGGAUUUGUGAUGUGAGGAUCAUGGUUUGCUGAACUAUGGAUACCAAUUUUGAUGCACUAACAAUUUAUGUUAGAAUAUAAAAAGGCACCUGACUCGACUGGAUAGGUGUGAAGAUUGGACACCAUUUGUCACCUUAACACUUAGAUGAAUUAAGGUUGAGGCUCUAAAUUUACAUUAUCUUUGGAGCAACCUAACCAAUUGUCGAAAAGGCAUCUAUUAUCCAGCAAGUCUUUAGAAACUAAAAGGAGAUGGAAGUGUUUAUUGGCACUUCAAAAUGUUCCAUAUAACCUUCUGGAUUUGCAGUUAUAUCAAAUUGCUCAAGUCUGACUUUACUCCAUUGUUUUGUUCAUUUUUGGUAGAUUUUGCCACUGGUUGAACCAACUAAGGUCAUAAUGGAUUUGAGAGUUGGUAAUUAUGAAUGGCAUGAGUUCUUCCCGCAUGGUAAUGUCUUUGUGGCCUUUUUAGCUACUCUGUACUUUGCUUUUCAUUCUCAGGUGCAAUUUUGUGAACUGGGAAUUGGACAUGAUGCAGGUAAUUAUAAUAUCGGUGUUGUGAUUGCUAUCUGGGCUCCAAUCAUCCUGGUAGGUGCAUAGGAGGAUCAUUUAUCAGGAGGAAAGCUAUUCUAGCAUCUAUAAAUCAUUAACAAAAUUGAUUGGUUCGUAGGUUUAUCUCAUGGAUACACAAAUUUGGUAUGCUAUAUUCUAUACAAUUAUUGGCGGUAUAUAUGGAGUGUUCAGCCACCUUGGCGAGGUAAGUGCUAUUUCUUGUUUACUUAUUCCUCCUUUAUAUCCCUUGGUGGCACUAUAAUCUUGCUGUUUCCAUCCUCUAAAAAUACUUUUUUCAAUUCUUAGAUAAGGACAUUGGGAAUGUUAAGGUCAAGAUUUGAAGCUAUUCCUUCUGCUUUCAUUGACUGUCUUGUGCCAUCUUCAGAAGAGGAAAUCAAACAACGUAAGCAGGUAGUUCACUUUCUCCUGACACUGUCCUUCAUAUUUCAUGGUAGGCUUCAAAUGGUGUAAAUUGUUAAAUACAUUGACAAGCAUUUUUUCCCUUUGUUGCAUCAAAUUUUUGGGUUUAACAUUUUCCUUUCCUUUCACUAUUACAAUUAGCCAUCUGUUUCAAUUUGAUUGAGGCCCAAUGGGUUCUGACAGGAAACUUCAUUGGAUAGAAAGAGUGUUUCAAAAUUUUCUCAGGUGUGGAAUGAGUUCAUACUAUCGAUGCGAAUGGAGGAUUUGAUCACCAACAGGUUUGGACUUGUUCUAUAAGGUUCUUCAUUUUCAAUAUUGCACAUCAUUUGCUUUUUACUCAAGUUCAUCACCUAUUUUUUAAUUAAUUCCAGGACUAUCCAUCUGCUUUCUCUGGCUUCUUGUCAUUAGAUAUGCAUCACAUACAUCUGAAUAAGGUUUUAGGAAUAAAUGAUUUCUGUUUAAAAUUCAAAUUGUCAGGGAGAGAGAUUUGCUGCUUGUACCAUAUGUGGCAAGUGACAUCUCUGUGAUCCAGUGGCCGCCUUUCUUGCUUGCUAGUAAGGUGAAUAGUUGAUGGUUACUGCAUUUCGUUUUGAUAAUGCAAUUCAUGUAUUUGGAAAUCUCACAUUCUUACCUAUACAUGUUAGAUUCCGAUAGCGCUAGACAUGGCAAAAGAUUAUAAAGGAAAGGAUGAUAUUGACCUGUUCAACAAGAUUGCCAGUGAUGACUUUAUGCGUUCAGCUGUCACUGAAUGCUAUCAGACACUCGGAUAUAUAUUAGAGAGCCUUUUCAGAGAGAGCGAGGAUAAACAGUAUGGCACAUUAUUGGGAUUUGAAUGCUGAAAAGCUAGAUCCAUCUUUUCUUUCAUGAUGAGAGGCAGUAUUUUUCAUUUGCCUCUCGUUCAUAAUGCUUGUGACUCUUAGAGCUUCUUUUCUUAUUACAGGAUCAUUAAUUGGAUACGUCAUGAGGUACAUGAGAGCAUGAAGGGAGGGAGAUUUUUGAGCGAGUUCCAAAUGAGUGGGCUGCCUUUUCUCAAUGAUAAGCUAGAGAGAUUAUUAUUUCUUUUGGUGAGUUUAGCAUUGUAGUUUUUCUGUUUCCUCAGCAUUCAAAUCUAUUACCAGCAAAGCAAUACAUUAGGAUGUUAUCGUUAUGCUUCUACUAAUAUGUUUUGCAGACAACAGAUCAUGAGGACAGGGAGCUAUAUAAAUCCCAGGUUGUCAAUGUUGUUCAGGAUAUUGUGGAGAUUAUCACUCAUGACAUUAUGUAUAAGGGACAUGAGUAAGCAUGUUAUCAGUAAAUAUGGGUUCUUAGUUGCCAUAUUUUGUAUUUAACUAUGUCUGCAUUGGAGAACUGCCCCUUAUUCUUGAUAUGCUCUGGGUUUGUUUUUGUCUAGGAUCGUAAGUAGAGAUCCACCAGGGAACCAGAAUGAGAGAAAAGAGCAGAGGUUUGAAAACAUGAACUUUGAGCUCACUCAGCACAGAGAUUGGAGAGAAAAGGUUUUUGGCAGUCAGUCAUUUGCUUCUGUUAUAGUUUCCUUUUCUUCUAUUGAUCCUAUUUAUACUUAGGCUUCUACUUCAUCUACAUCCUUCUUCUGGGCAUAGGCUGUCAGGCUUCAUUUACUUCUGACUGUGAAGGAGUCUGCAAUAAAUGUGCCUACGAAUUUGGAAGCUCGUCGUCGAAUCACUUUCUUUGCAAACUCCCUUUUUAUGAACAUGCCAAGUGCUCCAAAAGUUCGCAACAUGCUCUCUUUUAGGUCAGUUUUAGUUAAGUUGUUUUGAAAUACUUGCUUUUAUGGUGACAAUAUCUGUCACUUUUAUUGAUUGUGAGUUCUCUUUGGUUAACGUCCUGAAUAAUAGCUGUCAGAGCUGCAAAAUUGUCUCCAUCUAAGAAAAUUGAAUUAAAUUGUAAAGAAAUAAAGAAAAUGUAGCUUUACCCCUUUAUAUUGUAAAUAGCAGAAGAUAUAAAAUACAGGUUUUUGAAAUAAGAAAAAAAAAACUGAAAAUGUUCCCACUCUUAUGAAUGAAGUUUGUCUACAGUCUGUGCCAUAUUAUCAACGACGUUGCCCUUUUCAAUAGAAGGGAACGGUGAAGGUGUUUCGAACAUUGAACCUGCGGGAAAACUGUGUACUAUGUUGCCUUACUGUCUCGAAAUAAAAGGGACAUUUUUCCUUGGAAGAGAUAAAGAAGAGAGAAGAGCUGUAGUGUGAUUACUUCUGCAGUGUAAACAAUAAUUUCUUAUCAAUUUGAUAUACGACGGGUAGCUUUUUACACUGCAAGAAUACUACCUUGUCCAGCACUUAUCACAGUCACCAACCGCUUAAGUGUUUCUCUACUGACCCAAAAGCCUGCCAAAAACACAUGUAAAGGACUAACUACAAGUAUUUAUGUAAAGCUUAAAUGUGUGACUGGAUGGAUGACUGUGGACCAAGCAGUAGUUGCUUCCAGCUGGUAAAGUAUUUAUGAGAGUCAAAAUAUGUACGUGGGACUUUUCCAGAGUUCUGGAAUGUUGAUCCUCCAACUUUCAACACAUCUCUGCAGUCAUAGUGGGUCAACCUUAGUUGUUGAGACAAAGUAUGGCUAACUGUUGUUGCAACUGCUUACAAAUCAUCCUAGGAUCACAAAUGUGAAACAUGAACAGAAAAUCAAGGGAAUUAUGCUUUUCAUUUGUAGCUUUUUGGGUUUCCUCUUUGCCAGUUUUAGCUUUAAUUUGGGAUGGGAGUUCCAUGGCAGAGAUAGAUACUUUAAUAUUUAACCUUAAAUCUUGUAAAUGAAAUUCAGAAAGACAAUGAGCAUUAAACUACCCCAAAUAUACAAGGGAGACUGAGUCUUUAUAAAUUAUAACCAUAGAUGCAGAUGGUUUCUGACUUGUGUCUCAAACCAAAACUAGGGUAAGCAAUCUGUGGCUUAUUAAGUGGGCAAAGUGCUACAAGGGCAUUCAUAAGAUGAUGGAAAAGUUUGACACGAAUUAUGUGCAGCAUGACUUUGUAGGCAGCAUUUACAUAUUUUUUGUAGACCAAGCGUACUGGAAAUCUGACAUGGGAAACUUUUGAACAAGAUCCCCCUGGUGAUGCUGUAGAGUUUAGAUUAGAGUUCCUGAUUUGGACUACUGAAACAGCUUCCUGUUGAUGAGAAUAUUUUAAAAUGAUUUUGUUGUAAUUUGUGGCUUAAGAAAAUAUAGGAUUUUAAACAGUGAAGACAUAACAACUAUAUAGGGACUUUUCUUUCCAUCCAGAAAUCCUCGCAUCAUUUGCUGAUUUACUUCUGGGUCAUCACAGAUGAUUACCCCAUGCAUGUCACUUUUGGUGUAUUGGAGAUUGGAGCACUCUCUGACCCAAGUUCUCUCUUGUUAUUCAGCAUCUUGACUCCAUAUUAUAGGGAAGAUGUUUUCUAUUCAGAAGAGGAGCUUAACCAGGAAAAUGAAGAUGGAAUCUCAAUUUUAUUUUACCUUCAGAAAAUAUAUCCUGGUAAGUUACAGUUUGACAGCAAUCAAGUGCAGAAAAAUUAUUGGUUAAACAGACAUUUUCAUCAAUUCAUGUUGCAUCUUCACAGAUGAAUGGAGAAAUUUUGAAGAAAGAUUGAAUGAUUCAAAGUUUGGAUACACUGAGAGAGACAGACCAGAAUUGAUACGCCAGUGGGUAUCUUAUCGCGGGCAGACGCUAUCCAGAACAGGUUCAUAAAUAGAGAACUCUUGCGUUACUUUCUCUUUCUUUCAGGGAUAUGAUUAUGUAUUUCUUAAUCAUGCCAACUUGUUUCUUUCCAUCUGGGGCCAGUCAGAGGGAUGAUGUACCACAGGGAAGCUCUAGAGCUCCAAUGUUUUCUGGAUGAUGCUAAUGAGAAUGGUUGGUGCUUCAGGAAUCAUGUUUCAAACGCUGGUUCAUGUUACUGUGUGCUCAUAUUUGUGUAACACACUCAUAAAACAUAAUGCUCGUUUCACUUGCAGAAAUAUUUGCCAGUUAUCGUGCAGUUGUGCGCCAUGAAUCUCAAAGGAAGCUUAAGAGGCGUUCACAAGCUUUGGCAGAUUUGAAGUUUACCUAUGUUGUGUCUUGUCAAAUCUAUGGUGCUCAGAAGAAAUCCAGUGAAAGUCGAGAUCGUAGUUGUUAUGUUAACAUUCUCAAUCUCAUGUUGACGUAAGUGUUCAAGGUCUAAAUUUAAAUGCCUUAUAACUGCAAAUAAUGGUUAAAAUAUUGACAGAAGUGUCCAAACUACUACAGGUAUCCAUCUCUUCGUGUUGCUUAUAUAGAUGAAGUAGAGGACACAAUUGCUGGGAAAUCUGUCAAGCAUUAUUAUUCUGUUCUUGUUAAGGGAGGGAAUAAGUUGGAUGAGGUAUGAAGUCUAACUAUGCCAAAUUGCAAAAUCAAACACAGUUAUUUAAAAGUUAUGGUUAAGUUUUUAUAGGAUUAUGAAUUAUUAUAUCUUCAUUUUUUUUUUGUGAAUUAUUAUAUCACUGGGUUCCAAUAGACAAAUGCUCACCUUUUGUCAUUAUCAAGGAAUAUCUUCUUAAUUUCAUCAUCUAUUGGAACAUCAGGAAAUCUACCGUAUUAAACUUCCUGGGCCUCCAACAGAAAUUGGUGAAGGGAAACCUGAAAAUCAAAAUCAUGCCAUUAUAUUUACCCGUGGAGAAGCCUUGCAGACUAUAGACAUGAAUCAGGUAGGUUCCUCAUUUUUCCUUUAUUUAUAUAAAGUGCCAAAUUGCUUACUGUUUUCCUGUAGGACAACUAUUUUGAGGAAGCAUUCAAAAUGAGAAAUGUAUUGGAGGAACUUCUAAAGAUUCAUCAUGGACAACGAACACCAACAAUAUUGGGACUGAGGGAGCAUAUAUUUACUGGAAGGUUGGCGUGCAUUUUUGUCACCAAAGUUUGUCUUAAUCUGAAUAUGUAUUCGAUUAUAGAUUGCUAUAUACUCACAUUGGCUCUUCCCAAUUUGCAGUGUUUCUUCACUUGCUUGGUUCAUGUCCAAUCAGGAAACAAGUUUUGUGACUAUUGGACAGCGAAUUUUGGCUAACCCUCUCAGGUAAUGUUUCUUUGAAACCUCUUAUUGCUUUAGUCCUCGGAAAAAGGAUGUACCACGUCCAGUAUGAACCAGGUCAAAUGCUUCUGUCAAUGUCUGCAUAUAAAAAAAAAUCACAAGAAGGCGGUCUGAAUCUGGUUUUGGUUUUUGCUGCGGUUUCAUCGGACAAAUAAGUGGCCACAUAAUCUCAAUUCACUAGGGAUAUGAUUUGCAGUACCUAUUUCAUGUAUUUCUGCUGAUUAAUUUGAUUCUUGUUUCCUGUCCAGUACACAAAUUCUAUUGCUUAGAUGCUUCAGUGGGAUUUUGGUGUGUACAUGUACCAGGAGAAUUUUAGGAUUAUCAUUUCCACAACCAUAUGGAGGUUAAAUAGAUGCACAGUGUGUAACGUUGCAAUGAAUUCUUUAUAGAAUAUUGUUUCAUAUUUUAUAGCUCCCUCAACUUUUAAUUUCUUGAAAGUUGGCAAAUCUUAGAUAUCUAUGAUCUAAUCUACUUGUUUCAUAGGCCAGCUCUAUUUGUAAAGUUAUAUAUUAGUCAAUUAGCUUAUGAGAAAAUGUGAUAUUUCUGGCAACAGAAAGUGCAAUAAAUCUAAUGUAAAAUGGCAUUAAGCGAUUAAAGUAAGUUGAUUGACAGUAUCUGAGCGUUGUUGCUUUCAGUUGAUGUGAUUACGUUUUAUGUCUCACAGGGUACGGUUCCACUACGGACAUCCUGAUAUUUUCGAUAGAAUCUUUCAUAUAACCAGGGGUGGCAUAAGCAAGGCAUCAAAAAUUAUUAACUUGAGCGAAGAUAUAUUUGCAGGUUGUUUUUAUUCUUUAAGACUAACCGUAUGAUAAGCAUUAUUGGCCAACUGAAUGGGUUGAUUGCUUCAGGUUACAAUUCAACUCUGAGAGGGGGAUAUGUAACGCAUCAUGAAUACAUUCAGGUGGGGAAAGGGCGUGAUGUGGGGAUGAAUCAGAUAUCUCAAUUUGAGGCAAAAGUUGCAAAUGGAAAUGGAGAACUUUGUAAGAAUAUAAAGAUUUUGAGUAAAUCUUUUUAGCACUAACAACAAAUACGCAAAUUGUUUUUUUUUUUUUUUUUGACAGGAUCAUAUAGACGUAAUGCCCAGUUGGAUGAUCAAGCUUCAAGCCCCUAAAAUAUUGCACCUUCUGCUACCCAAGUUUUUUCCCAACUAGUGAAUUGCAAUUAUUGCACUAAUAUCAAGUCAUUCACAACAAUGAAACAAAUGAAAACGAGCUCCAUGAGCCCUGUAAGUUGUGACAAAGAAUCAAAGACUUGGUAAAUGCAAAACCUUUCCACAUUACAGGAAAUUUUUAUCAGGUACAUUAAGUCUUAAAAGAAAGAAACUUUUUUACAAAGAUGGAUCAUACAAAGCAGACAAAUGAUACAAAAUGCAAAAGCCUGUUCACUUAUCUACCUAUAAGACAAAUCUGAAAACACAAAAGGGAUCGGCUUGCAUGCCAGUAAUGAAAGGUGGUUGAUUCAGAACUGUCACAGGUAAAGCUAGCUGUUUAUUAACUACAGUAUUUAGCAGAUGAGGAAAACAGAUGUCCAUCGAUUUUUUUUUGCCUCCCCAUCAACACCUUUUAUUAUAACUGCCUGCUGAAAUGUUUCAUUGACAAGUAUUAUAUGUUCCUGCUUUUCCUUUUGGUUUGGUCUAAGCGUCAAAUUUUGAUCAGUUUCAUGUUCCAUUUUAUCGACAUGGCCAGCAAAUGCAUCACUGGAAGGAUGUGGAUGUACUUAAAAAAGUCUGAUAUUUUUUGCCAAACUUGUUUAAGCUGAUUUCUAUGGCUAGAGAAAUAUGCAAUAACGAAUUCGAGGAUCAACUCAUUUCCCUUGUUUUAGUAACUUCUUGUAUACUCAAGAAAGAAACAGCAUUUCUGGCCAUCGAUCCCUUUUUUUUUUUUUUUUUGUGAUUAAAAUAGCAUAUGUCCUGGAAUCCUCUGAGGAUUGGAAGCUUAGGAAAAUCACAUCCAUUGAUAGGAUAUCUUUGGUACGAAAGUUGACACGAACGGAAUUUGUAACCACAACCCCACAACACCUGUCGAUGCAUCAAUUCCUUGCUGUUUCUUAGAUUCCCUGAAAUACAACGGCUAUCUAUAUCCCAGUUCAUCCAAUGUCAUUCCUGUCGAAGAGAUCCAUAAAAAACUCGAGAAGAAAAAGAAAAAAAGAGAGGAGGGCCGGGAAGUCAGCAAAGUCCUAUAGUGUAGGACCUUUAACCCUGCACUGGCCACAGGCACCAUCUGAGAAUCAGAGAAACAAAAAGACUACCCCCACAAGAGAGGUCCCCGUAACCCUACACAGACUUUACAGACCCUGGUUUUCGUGCUGCAAGCCUGCAACCUACAUGUGACAAAAUUCCAAUCAUUAACGUUGUUUCCCCCACUCUUGCCAACCAAUAAAAAAAAAAAAAAAAAACCACCCUCCCUCAAUUAUUAAAGCCAAAAUUCACAAGACAAAGCCCUCUUCUUCUGAGAUUCUGCAAUGCCAUAAUAAUUGUACUAGCUAUAUAAAUCCAAACUUUUCAAGACUACUAUUAUGUUCCACACAAACAUAAUGUAAUGGCAGGGGAAAUGGGAAAGGAGAAAGAUCAGAAUAAGAGCAUUACGAGAACAACAAAAUGCGGUGUGAGCAAAAAAGGAUAGAAGAACACAUGCCCAAUAACAUCAUCAUUCUUGAACUUUAUAAUGGCUACCCCAAAAUGAUAAAUAGUACUCCUGUAACUUGAGAGCAUGGAAAAACUAUAGGCAAAGGUAAAACCAUAUCCGGGAAGUCUCACCAUCCCAAUAAAAGUAACCAUAGGGGAAAACACAGAGAAAAAAGAAUGAUGAUCAGGAUCAUGAUGCAUGUUAAGAAGGCCCACAGCAAACAUAUCUGUACAGCAAUAAGCCCCUCUCUCUCUCUCUCUUUCUCUCUCACUCUCACACACACACACACGAAAACUCUCUCUCUCUCUCUGAUAACUAUCCUCAUCAUUUCACAACAUGACAGCUUGAGGUACAGGAGGAGGACCAAUUCUGAUGGAAUUCCAAAAGGGCUAUCCUUAAUUCAUUCCCACCCUGCCAUGCAGGAAUCUUUCCAUUAAAUACUAAGAAAAUGUGAAUUGUAUAGAAGGGUUACGGAGAGCUUGAAAAUCUGGAGAAGAACAAUUAUUCAUCCAAGUCAUGUGUUGUCAGUCCUAUUCACGAAUUUUAUCAGAUGUCUGGUUAUCUGAUUGCCCUACACUGCUUUCCACAUCAGCUAAUCCACUACUGUCCUUCAUUGAUUCAAUUUCCAUGCUUGCUGUUCGGCUUCUCCUGUUCCUCCGAUCCUGUAGAAACAUUAUUACUUUGAAUUAGUUUGCUUAAACUAACAAAGUUCUCAUGAGCCUCCCACGAGGCUAGCACUAUCCAAGAUGCUUGAUAGAUCAUGUUCUUAUUCAAGAAACAACAAGAAUGAUUCAAUCAGGAGAAAAUAUGCAUUUUUAACAGAAAUCCUUGUUGAGAGUCUUGUUUCAUGAACAAUUACAAUGGGAACCUUUUCAGAAGUCCUCGACAUCUGCUGAUGCAGAUUGAAUCAUGCACAAUUUACGAACUCUACACAUAUAGACAUCGAUAGAUGCUAUUUGUGUUCCUUAAUAGACUGUAGCCUUUACUCAAAGUCUUAAAAAAGGCCAAAGGCAACCAUAAGCAUGGUCUAGGCUUGCAGGAUAAGUAUGCCUGGCCAAAGUACAAUGCUUAUGCGAAACACUUUUAAUACCAAAAUCUACAGGUUAUUCUCAAUAUCAAUUUUCUAGCAAGUGGAGACUUUUUGUAUCUGCACUGACAUGUAGGUUAGGCACUGGUCUCUUUUCAUUACUCAGAAGCAACAAUAAGAGAGGAGUCCAAGAGCUUUUAACUAUGACCCUCUGUUCAAAAAAGACAAUUCAGUCUUCAACUGACAUGUAGAUUAGGCACUGGUCUCUUUUCAUUACUCAGAAGCAACAAUAAGAGAGGAGUCCAAGAGCUUUUAACUACGACCCUCUGUUCUGUUCAAAAAAGACAAUUCAGUCUUCUUCAAAUACCAUAUACAUGCAUUGCAUGGAAGCUCUGACUAACUGAAUUAUUAGCAUUUUUCAACUGGAGAAUUCAGAACUUGGACAAACACUAAACAUCCAAUAGACGACAACCCAUACAGACAAGUGAACAUUUUAAUAACACAUUCAAAAAUUGGGAUUGGAAAAGCACCUCACGGUAUGGAAAUUCAUCUGCCUCGAGCAUUCGCACAACUUGACUCAUCCUGGGUCGCUUCUCUGCAUCAGGAUCAACAGAUCUGAGUGCCACCAAAAGUGCACGCUUUAAGGCACGAGUUGCUGGCUUUACUUCAAGGUCAGGAUCCACAACUUCUUCAGCUCUUCUAUGUCCUACCAUCAUUUUCAGCCACUCAACAAGAUUCACCUGGCACAGGAACAAAUCUCCUGGUUAGCCAAGCCUGAAGCCCAUGUCCACUAAUGCCCCAAAUCCACAGUAAAUGGAAAGACAGAAAAGAAUUCACAGACUGUACCAACACUAUCACAAUCAAUAUAGUUUAUAAGGAUUCCAUACCUCGUUAGCAGGACGGGCAUAGUCAACUGGAUCUCUUCCUGUGACUGCUUCCAGUAGUAGAACUCCAAAACUAUAUAUAUCACUUUUUUCAUUUAACAAACCACUGUUUGCAUAUUCUGGAGCCACAUAGCUGAAAUUAACAACACAAAAUGUUUAAGCAUAAAGAAUUCUUCGUAUAAUUCACAUUGGAUAAUAUGGAGGAAAAGGAUAGAUGGCUGAAAAUAAAGAACCAGAAGGAUUUAGUUAAAAACUGGCUUACCCAAAUGUUCCCAUUACUCUUGUCGUUAUGUGGCUUUCUCCUGAGCCCAAGAGCUUUGCCAAUCCAAAAUCAGAAACCUUGGCAUUGAAUUCAUCAUCGAUCAAAAUAUUACUAGAUUUUAUAUCUCGAUGGACAACCUUAGGCUCUAUAGCUUCAUGCAGGUAAGCAAGCCUGCAAAACAAUGUGACACAAUGUUCUGGAUCAAAGCAAUGGAGACACAAUAUAUGAAGAUUUAAUUUUACAAUAAGCGCUUACUACAAACUACAAGGUUUCACUUAGUAAGCAACAUAUUAGAAACAGAUUGCACAAGUGCUACAUUUCAAAAAAGAAGAAUGGAAAAAUCAGGGAAACAGUGCUAUAAGAAGAUGGGUGGACAAGAAUUGCAUCGCAUUUUACCGAUGGAUUAUGCUUAAUCAAACCUGCAAGAGGUUAAAAAAAAAAGCAAAUAUGAAACAUAGUUCAUCAGAUUUAAUGCAUGGCAGACUUACGCUUUUGCAGUACCAAGAAGCACUUUCAUGCGUGCAUCCCAUGUGAGUGUCCCAUGUUGUUUCAUAGUACCAUGAAGCCAUUGUUCUAAGUUGCCAUUAUUAACAUACUCGUACACCAACAUCCUGAAUUAACAAAAACAAGGAUAAUCUCAGCAAAAAAAAGGAUAAUCUCAGUUAAUGGAGAUGUAUCUCAUUAGACUGAAAUUCAAGACUCAAUAAGUCAAUAAACAUAAUCAUAAUUUUAAUUUUCUUUUUCUUAUUAUUAACUAAAUUAGUGGAUCAAGGAUGAAGCUCAAAACCAAGACCCCAGCCCUGCCUUGUUUAGAGUGCUCCAACCAACAAAGCUAGGCCUUGGCUCAAACUUGAAGUUCCUCUACUACUACUGCAAUUUGCAGAAUCAUUCAAGAACUAUUUUACAUUAAGUAUAGAAAUGAAACUGCUGACUUGAAAAUUCAGGUGGAAAAAGAAGAUUCUUACCUCUGAACCCCUUCUAUGCAAUAGCCCAGGAGCCGCACAAGAUUCUUGUGCCGAACAUGCCCAAUGGCCUCUACUUCGACCCUGAAUUCUUUUUCAGCUUGGCCACUGAAAUUAGUUCAGAAUUCAACCGUGAAUAAGUUAAAAAAACUCCAAAAACACAUAUUGAAGCCAUGAAAAUGAAGUAUUUAUGUACUACUCACAGAUUGUUAAGAAGCUUCUUUACAGCUACCUCUGUCCCAUUGACCAAUCUGCCCCGGUAAACAACCCCAUAGCCACCUUCCCCAAUCACAUUCUCUGCUGAGAAGCGGUUUGUAGCAAUAUCAAGAUCUCUAAGGGUAAACCAGUGACCCCAACCAAGAUGUGAUAUUUCUGGCAAGCCAAUCAGAGGAGAGGCCAUUGGAAGCCCGUAAGGCAAUGAAGACAGUUUUCGAGCAGUACCAGAACUUCCUUCUUCCCCUGAUUGUGAGCUGCAAGCCCUCUCAUGGUGAUACAUUGAGCUACACUGACUGAGAUUAUCGACAUCACUUGAUUUACUCCUCCCCAGAUGUACUAACAUCUUUUCUGAAUUCUUAUCGCUUGACUUGUCGUUCACUGUCAGGUAUACUGUUUCUGGGUGAUCAUGGUAAUCUUGACCUCCUACUCUAUCGACUUUGAUGUCUUUUGAUAUGUUAGGUAUUUGACAAAGUGAAUAUUUGUCGAGGGUUCUUCUUGAUCUCCUCCGGAACAUUACCCAUAUUGAUAAGGUACAAAGUAUCAAAACUAUAAACGCACCAACACAUAAACCAAUCACGACCCAUAAUUUUAAACCCAAAAAUGAUGUCUUCUUGGAUAGCUCAGCAUUCAAACUCUCAGACGACAUGUUCGACAAACUUCUACCAAGCACCAAUAAACAAGUCUUGUCCCCGUAGCUUCACCUGGGGAAUUAAACCAUGCCUCCUGGAUCCCAUAAACAUGUCAUAUAAGGACAGAAGCACCCAAAUGGCAAAUAAGUAUCAAAAUCUUAGGCUAGUUGGUAAUCCAAUUCUCGAUUUGUUUCCUUCUUCUACUUUGAUUUCCUUAAGUAUUGAGCCUAAACCAGCCAACUAUCACCCAAUUCUAAUGACACACUCAAAACUCACAAGUGUAAAGAGAGAUUAGUUUUUGUCAUUCAGACAGCAUAAUUCAUGUGGGAGACCAAGUCAGAAAGUUUCCAUAGAUGAACCAAAGAGACCAUGGUCCAAAUGUUCCAAUAGAUACCAGAACAUUUUACAGUUCAUAAUCUCAGACAGGGUUCAGAACAAAGCAAUGAGAAGAGUAUCAAAACACCAUAGCAAUAGCAGGCAUUUAAUAAAUAAAAGCAACCAAUUUCAAAAGAAGCCAAUGCAAAAUCCACAAAAACUUACUCAUUUUUUAAAAUCAACAGAGGCAAAGACUUGCAUAUAAAAACAUUAAACAUAUAAAAUCUUGAGAAUAAAAUCAAGCAAAGCAUGACUUAUGAUCCAAGUUAAAUCCAGUAAAAAGUGUAUUCAAAGCAGAAAGCACUGACCUUGAGGUGAUCUGAGUCUAACCCCCUCGAUCUUCCUCCUUGAGAACCCAAAGAAGCAAAGAAAGAACCUCUUUUUGUACCAAUAAGGGUCCAACAAGCAUAGAUAUCCCAAUGCAGAGCUGAAAUAAAGGAAAAAAAAACCACCACAAAUAGCAAAAGACUAAAAAAAGUUAACUUCUGAAGAAAGGAGGAGUAGUUUACAAGUAGAAACUAAUCAACUAUGGCCUCAAGUGGGCCAGAAAAGAGAGUUAAAACAACAGUACAAAGGAAUUUUUUUUUUCUCAAUCAAUGCCAGACAAAAAAUCAAUCUUUUCAAGAAAUAGAGCCAAUGUUGUGAGAAAUAUAUCAAGGGUUCUUUUCUUUUUUUUUUAUUUGGUAGUGAAGGUGUCAUAAAAGCAAGAGUUGGGUAAAAAAUGGUUGGUGGGGUUGCAUGAAUGUGGAGGAAAGACCGACCUCAAACAAGCAGCAGCUGGAAAGGGAAGCUUAGGUUGCAAUGAAGGAAACCACAGAUGAAGAAGUAAAGGGAAAGCAAAAAAUUAUGCAAAGAGAAAAAAAAAAUUCAGCAUGAAGAGAACAGAAAAAGUGAGAUAUAGUUGGCAUUUAUAGCAGAGUGAUGAAAUAUUGGAAAAAGUGCAAAAAGGAAAAAAAAAUCAACAAAAGGAAAAGGAAAUGGAAAAGGAAAAGACAGAUAAAUAUGUGUGCUAGUGUGUGUGAAACUAUGAAUAUGAUGUCUGUGCCAUGUGCGCGUGAGAGUCAAACCGGAGAAUAGGUGAGUCUUUUUUUUUUUUUUUGAGGAAAGCAGAGGUGAGUGCAAAUGUAUGUGCAGUCUGGUUGAAUUUACUCAACUGUCCUUAUCCUUGUCACCUAAAAGUACCAAAAAGUAAGGUUGUGUUUGGAUUGCAUUUUCCGUCAUUUUUCAUGGAAAAAUUACUGUAGCGAUUUGAUAUAUGUGAGGGAAAAAGGUGAUAGGGAAAUGUGAUCACGGAAAACGAUAAUAUUUUCCGACGAAAACCUUCAAUCCAAGCAAGGCUUUAAUAUUUUUGUAGUUUCAUUUAUUUCGAGUUAGAAAAAUAAGAAGGUUGGUGAAUUAUUCAUUGAAAAAUCUUGAUUACACGUCAAAUAUGUUGAUGGAAAUCUAAUUGGCGUGAUAUUAUUGGUAUUACCAAACCACAUGACAAUGUACAUAUUCAAAAUAUACUCGACUAUGUAUACAUUGUUCGACAAAAUAUAUUGCAAUUAUUAAGCGAUGUCAAUUGUCGCAUAUAUUUAAAAGUUAUUUGACUAUUUAAUACUUUCCUUCACGAAAAUAUGUAUUCAUUUAUUCGACGUUAAAUACUGCACUUAUUCGACGAAAGAUAUUAUUAAACGGUGUCAGUUGUCGUAUAUAUUUAAGAGUUAACGAUGUCAAUUGUGGUAUAUAUUUAAGAGUUAUUUGACUAUUUGAUACUCUCCUUUGCGAAAAUAUUAUAUUUUUUGACGCAUUAAAUACUGUACUUAUUUGACGAAAUAUAUUAUAAUUAUUAAACGGUGUCAAUUGUCGUAUAUAUUUAAGAGUUAUUAACGGUGUCAAUUGUUGUAUAUAUUUAAGAGUUAUUUGACUAUUUAAUAUUUUCUUUCAUGAAAUAUAUUUUAUUUUUGACGCGUUAAAUACUGUACUUGUUCGACGAAAGAUAUUAUAAUUAUUAAAUAGUGUCAGUUGUCGUAUAUAUUUAAGAGUCAAUGGUGUCAAUUGUCGUAUAUAUUUAAGAGUUAUUUGACUAUUUAGUACUUUCCUUCACGAAAAUUAUUAUAUUUUUUAUGUGUAAAAUACUGUACUUGUUCUAGGAAAGAUAUUAUAAUUAUUAAACGGUGUUAGUUGUCGUAUAUAUUUAAGAGUUAUUUGACUAUUUAAUACUUUCCUUCAAAAAUAUUGUAUUUUAUAACGCGUUAAAUGCUGUACUUGUUCGACGAAAUAUAUUAUAAUUAUUAAAUGAUGUCAGUUGUCGUAUAUAUUUAAGAGUUAACAGUGUCAAUUGUCGUAUAUAUUUAAGAGUUAUUUGACUAUUUAAUACUUUCCUUUACAAAGAAUAUUAUAUUUCUGAUGCGUUAAAUACUGUACUUAGUCGACAAAAGAUAGUUAUUAACGGUGUCAGUUGUCUUAUGUAUUUAGAGUUAACGAUGUCAAUUGUCGUACAUAUUUAAGAGUUAUUUGAAUAUUUAAUACUUUCCUUCAUGAAAAUUAUUAUAUUUUGGACGCGUUAAAUACUGUACUUGUUCUAAGAAAGAUAUUAUAAUUAUUAAACGGUGUUAGUUGUCGUAUAUAUUUAAAGUUAACGGUGUCAAUUGUCGUAUAUAUUUAAGAGUUAUUUGACUAUUUAAUACUUUCCUUCGCAAAAAUAUUAUAUUUUAUAACUCAUUAAAUACUGUACUUGUUCGACAAAAGAUAUUAUAAUUAUUAAACGAUGUCAGUUGUCGUAUAUAUUUAAGAGUUAACGGUGUCAAUUGUCGUAUAUAUUUACGAGUUAUUUGACUAUUUAACACUUUCCUUCUUGAAAAAAGAAUAUUAUAUUUCUGAUGCAUUAAAUACUGUACUUGUUCGAUAAAAGAUAAUUAUUAAAUAGAGUUUGUUUGGAUUGCAUAUUAUUUACACCCUAUUUACACGCACUGACUUGUUUGGAUCAUCAGCACAUUUUUCAACCACCUUUUUAUCCCAUACACAUCAUAUUAAAAAAGUAAUACAGUAUUUUUUUCACAACAUUAUCCCAAAUAAUCUCCAAUCCAACAGUGUCAGUUGUAGUAUAUAUUUAAGAGUUAUGUGACUAUUUAAUACUUUGCUUCACGAAGAAUAUUUAUAUUUCUUAAAUACUGUACUUAUCCUGUGAUUAUACGUGUAUGAUUCAAAAGCUACCCAUUUCAAUUUCUCGAGAUUAUACAUGUUGGAGGAUAUCACUCGUUGUGCAUAUCUGAAGAAUACUACGUUCGAUCCAUAGGAUAUUGCAUCUAAAUUUUACUCGACUAUUCAAUACUUUCCUUCAACAAAGAAUACCACACUUAUAAUCCAUCUAAUGUUAUACUUAUCUUGGUUUACGUGUAUUAUUUGAAACUUUUCAAUUUUCUCAACGCUUAAAAUUUCCUUUCUCAAUCUGUUAUGGAACGAAAAAAUUCAUAAUACUAUGCAACAUUACGAAAUGUGGCAGCAUAAAAGUUGACUAAAAAUUUCAUAGUUUUUCUUUUUUUUUAUCGGAGUGCAAUGACCAAAAACAGCGUGGGAUGACAUGAGAUGUGACACGCAGGAAUAGGAUUCCAAGUUAAAUGGUACUGCUACUUGGUAGUAUGACUUCUAAACGUGCCAUGUUUGUGCAACACGCAGGCCACAUUUUUUCUUAGGAUUUCGGAGGACAAAACGUACUUUUCGCAUAAUUUGACUAGACAAGUAUUUUCACAUAGGAAUUUUCGGAAUGUCCAAAUUCUGGGUGCCGUUGCCGCUCUGCCACUUACCACCGACUGCAAACUCGGAAUACCUACCUAAUGUGUACUUAGGAGUAGUGAUUAACAAACGCAUACUCGCUUUUUUUUUUUUGUCAUGGUAACACGUACUCUCUUUUUAUCUUUUCCGAAUUACAGUGCACUCUCUAAUCGACUAAUGCACUUAACUUUUAACUUCUCUAAAAUGUUUUUAUUUAGUGUUGUACUUUGUUACCAUUGAAUAUAACUUGUCUUAUUUAUCAACUGUUUUGAUUCAUGUCGUGAAUGGUGCAACUUUUCAUCAAUGUUAUUGUUACAAUUAAUGUAAAAGUAUAAUAGUUAGUUACACAGCUAAUAUUAAUGUAAGGAUAUUCUAGAAAAAUAGUAGGUUAGAUUUCCAAUAAAGUUAAAUACUCCCUCCAUCCCACUUUGAUAGUCCUGUUUUUUUUCUUUAUCUGUCCGAUAUUGCAGUCCACUUUUCAAUUGAAGAAUGUAGUUGUAUUUUAAUUUAUCUAAAAUACCCUUUGCUCAAUAUAGUAGAUUGUAACUUUUCUUAAAGUGUGUGAAAGAGACUGUACAUGCAUGGAUAUCAAAAUGGGAAGGAGGAAGUACAUGUCAUCAAUGUUUAGAUCAAACUUUUGGUUAGAUAUCUUUGUCAAAUCAAGGUAUAUUUAUUGAUGUUAAUCAAGGUGCAUUUAUUUAUUAAUUAGGCAGCCAUUUUGUGGUUGGAAACCGCAUUGGUAAAGCAGCCUGUAGAUUUUGAUUUGCAAGUCUCCAAGUUAGGUUUUUGAUUGAAGAAACUCAAACUACAAGGAAAAGAUAUUAGUACUAUUUUGAUUACCAAUAUUUUGUGGACAUAUAUUUAUGGUAUAUCCUUAAGGGGAUGGAAGUGAUUGCGUGUGACUGUGCGAGCUUUUCCACAGAUAUGUUCAAUGGUUUGAUUAAUUGUUUCAGACUUGCCUAAAAGCUUGAUCUAUCUCUCUCUUUCCCAAACUUUUGCUCAAAAUUCGAAAGUUCAUAAUUAGUCCAUCCAUAAUAAAUCCUGCUGAAAAUGGAAUUAAUGCAACAGACAUAAUAGACAGUUAUCACCGCCGAAUUUUGUUCCUAAAAUUGUGGUUCCAUUUUUGUGAAUAAGCGUUUUGUUCAUUAUUGGGGAGAUGAUAAUUGCUUUUGUACAAUCUUUUGAAAAGUGUUCAAGGAAAAUACCCUAACAUCUUCGCCAAAUUUUUGUAUCCAUACCAGCAUGCUACACCUACACGGCACCAUGUUGAGUAAGUGAAUAUGAAUCAAUACAGACUAAUCACCCUGCACCCUGAAGUACCCCGCUCCCUAAGAGCACCCAGGCGUUAAGAGAGGUUCUAACCCUGGACCUUGGGACAUUUACGGUUACCCCAAGACCAGAUGAUCUAACCCAGAGGGGCAAUAAACUAUAUGAUUUUACUCAAAUUAUAUAUCUAUUAUUUCAAGUAUAUGUUUAACAUGUCAUUAGAACAUAUGUGUAAAUUAAAUAGUGUUGAACGAUUUCCAACAAUUUGUUAUUGAAGUUUGCUUUUUAUAAAAAAAAAUUAUAUAUAUAAUUUUGCAAAUUGAUCCAUUCGCCCGUGACCAUCAUUUUUAUGACGGGAAAAACUCUUUUCCAUCAAAUCGGUAGGGGAAUUUAAAAGAACAUAAUGAUGAUUAAUGUCUCCAUGCACUUUGUCUAAUUUAGAUUCAAUAAAAGUUUGACUAGGAAUUAGACUCGGUAGACAUAUUGGUACUCCAUAAUUUAUGUCAUGAGGGAAAACUAGAUUUUGAACUUUUCAAUUAAAAUAAAUCAGUCAAACUCACAUAAAUCAACCUGAUACAAAGUUGAGGUUUGAUUGUGGCACGCAAUAUUCAAAAAUCGAUAUUCAUAAAAGAUUUUUAAUUUUUUGGUAAACACAUAUAUCAAAUCAAUACAAUACAUUUUUUUUUUUUUACAAAAACUCCUAAAAAUAACAAUCUAAAGGGUCGGCAGUACAUAAUAAACCAUCUUUACUGCUACAAUAACGAUUGAAAUGUAAAUAAAUACUUCAAUAUAAAUAAGAUAAACAGCUAAUCAUGCCCCUCGUAUAACAAAUAGAGUCUUCUCGAAAUGAUUGACAUUUGACCAAGCCCAAUUGAUAUGAAUAUUAGUUUUAUAAAGUAAACCGUUAGUCAUGCCCCGGUGUAAUAAGAUAUGAACUCGCUCUUGAAAUGAUUGACUUUUGAAUAAUUCCAAUUGAUUUAGACUAUUUAGCAACGGUUAAUAAGGUUAUAAGUGUCAAUUCCCCUACCAAGCUGGCAAAUUCUGUUCUUUUGGCAAACAAUUGACCUAUAUUCUAAGCUCUGCGUGAGAGAGAGACAGAUAGCAAUAGCCAAUAGAAUAUGAUUAGUUUAAAAACAAUGUGCUUUUCUUCACUGUCAUUGUCAUUAUGACUAAUUGAGCCAUAAAGCCUCCAUUGGAGGAGGAACAAAGGCUUUGAUUUGAAGCAAUACUUUUUUACUAAAGCAUGUCUCGGAUAAAUCUUUCAAAUCCUUAUAUAGGCUUUAAAAAAGAUUAAUGAGGCAAGUGGGGUUUGUUAUGUACCGUAAUGAAGUACCCUAAUGCCACAUAAUUUUAGGCCCUACAUGUUUUAUUUAAGGUUAAUUAACCCGAAUUAGUAAUCCUUGCCCAUAAUCACGAAUGGGGAAAAUGAUGUAAAAGCUGAGCCGUGUUUCAGAAUACUGACCUUGCAGGUGCACCACAUGGAAGGCACGUGGCUGGACUCGUUUUUUGGGCUCACAAGGUAACUCCUUUGUUUUUUUAAGGGUUAUUAUCACUUUACUCCCUUAAACUGUAUCACUAUUAUCAAUUUACUCUAUAACAUUAUCUUUUAGUCAUUUCACCCUCAUAAGUAAUUCAACUCAACAUGGUAAGAAAUUUUGGAUGAUAAAAUAUCAUUUUAUUCUAUAGCAUUGCUACAUUGUUAUUAUCAUUUUAUCAUUUUAAAUUAUAGUGAUACAAUCACUUUAAUUUCUAACAUUAUUUUUUGGGCAUUUUACCUCAUCGUUAAUCUAACUAGUAUGAUAAAAAAUUUUAAAUGUAUUUAUCCUUUUUUUAUAUAUAAUUAAAAAUAAAAAAGUUGGAAUGGUUAUUCUUCAUUUUUUUUUCACUUUAAGAGAUCCAAAAAUAUAAAAAUAAAAGGAUUUUCUUAAAUUUUUUUUCACACUUAUUAAUAUUAGGAAAUGAAAAAGAGAUAGGAAAGAAGGAGACAGAAAAUUAGAUUUUACAAAGAAAGAAAAUAAAGAAGAGUCUAAUAUUUGCCGUGUUACUUUAAGGUUGUCGGGAUUACGAUUGGAAUUGAGUGGUAAACAGAUAAAUAAAAUAAUUUUAAAAUAAUAAAAAUAUUUAAUUCUUUCUUAUUUAUAUUUUAAAAAAAGGAAUUGAGCUCUCUCUUUCUCCCUCUCCCACCCUAUCUUUAUUUUUUUUUCAAUAUUAAUGAGAUUACCAAGAAGAAAGAGAUUAAUAUUUUGACUUUUUUUUUAUACUAAAAAGGAGAAGAACCACUCUAAAUAUUUUUAUUUUUUUAUUAUACAAAGAAAACAAUACUUUUUUUCUAAAGUUUUUUAACUUGGUAAAUUGAUUUCAUGGUGGAAUAAAUUGUUUAAAAAAUAACUCUUGAGAGUAAAUUGAUAAGUUUAUGGAAGUAAGGUGAUAAUAAUUUUAAGGGUUAAACAUAUUUUUUCAUUUUAUUUAACAAAUUUCGUUAAAUUUGACCAUUAGUUUUCGGAGUAAAGUGACUAAAAUGUAACGUUAAGAGGAAAAUUGAUAGUAACACUGAAUAUUAAAGGGGCAAAGUGAUAAUAACUCUUUUUUUAAAUAAAAAGUUUGAAUGGUUUCGACUCUCAACACCUUCAAGAACUAGGAUACACUCUUGAUACCAUAAGUCGUUUAUAGGGAUCCCUAUACUCACAUUGACAAUGACAUUCAAACAGACAACUUUUUGUGAAUAAGUAAUUUGUUCUUAUCUACUGAGUUAACUUGUAUUAAUGAAUGCCUCUAUAACUUUUUAGUUUUGCUCUUGAGACCACAAGUUGUUUAUAAAGAUUUUUACUUUCACAUCGACAAUGGAAUUCAAACAGACAACUUUUUGUGAACAAGUAAUUUGUCCUUAUCGAUUGAAUUGACUUAUGUUAAUGAAUGCCUCUAUUGCUUUUUAGUUUUGUUCUUGAAACCAUAAGUCGUUUAUUGACUUAUGUUAAUGAAUGCCUCUAUUGCUUUUUAGUUUUGUUCUUGAAACCAUAAGUCGUUUAUACGGAUUUUUACCCUCAUGUCGAUAAUGGAAUUCAAACAGACAACUUGUUUAUAAACAAAUAAUUUGUCCUUAUCGACUGAGUUGACUUGUGUUGAUGAAUGCCUCUAUUGCUUUUCAGUUUUCCUCCCCAUCAACACGAUUUCCUGUUUGUUGCUUUUUUCUUUAUUAGGCAUUAGUUAAGACCAAAACGUAUUUCUAGAUCUCUCCAGACCAAUGAAUAAUUACAUGAGUAGAUAGUAGGGAUAAUUUCAGAAACCUCCCCUGAGGUUUCUGACAUUUACACUCACCUCCCCUGUGGUUUGAACAAUUACACUAACCUUCCCUGAGGUUACUAAUCCUUUACAAAUUCAGUCCAAAUGAUUAAAAUAUUGUUUUAGAGAGUGAAAUUAGAAUUUUGUACCUGAUUUGCCCUUUGUGCUAUAUAUCCAAUGAAUGACAAAGUAUUACAAAUUAAUUAAUAAUUAAUAAACUUUAAGGAGCGUAGUUUAUAGGUAAAAACGUAUUACUUAUUUAAAGUACUAACUCUUUACGAGUAUUUUACUUUCAAACAUUUACUUUAUUACAAAUAUUUAUUCUCAAAUACAGAUUUGUAUUACUCUCAAAUAUUUAAUUUUUGUUAAAUAAAAAACCUACCAGUUUUUCUUCCGUAGAAAUAUUAAUAUAACACUUUUUCAAUUUUAGUUAUAAAUAUUUAUGUAUUUAGCAUAAAUUAAAUGAUUCAGAAUUAAAUACUCAUAAAGAGCUAAUACUUUACUCAUGUAAUAGAUGAAAAUCAUAAAAAAAUAAUACUUUAUGGGCCAUUUCUUUUUUUAAAAAAUAUUUAAUUUAUGUUAAAUAGAUAACCUACUGAUUUUCUUUUUGCGAGAAUAUUACUGUAACACUUUUUAAUUUUUAAUUACAAACGUUAAUAUAUUUAUCAUAAAUUAAAUAUUUGAAAAUAAAAUAUCUGUAAAGAGUCGUUACUUUAAAUAGGUUAUGUGUAUUUGCCUAUAAACUAUACUCUUUAAAGUAAGGAGUAUAGUUUAUUGAUUUAGCUAGUAGAGAAUCUUUUGUAGGUGGCGGGGUUAGUCCUCUUAAGAGACAAAAAUGUGUAUGCUUUUGGUAAAACGAUUAGUUUAUACGUGUAAGUACGAGCGUGCACACAAAAGUGGUUGGGUCUAUUUGAGAAUAAAUAUUUGUAAUAAAGUAAAUGUUUGAAAGUAAAAUACUCGUAAAGAGUUAGUACUUUAAAUAAAUAAUACGUUUUUACCUAUAAACUACGCUCCUUAAAGUUUAUUAAUUAUUAAUUAAUUUGUAAUACUUUGUCAUUCAUUGGAUAUGUAGCACAAAGGGCAAAUCAGGUACAAAAUUCUAAUUUCACUCUCUAAAACAAUAUUUUAAUCAUUUGGACUGAAUUUGUAAACGAUUAGUAAGCUCAGGGGAGGUUAGUGUAAUUGUUCAAACCACAGGGGAGGUGAGUGUAAAUGUCAAAAACCUCAGGGGAGGUUUCUGAAAUUAUCCCUAGAUAGUAACAUUUUUGUGUUUACUCUAUAUAAAUGUCUCAACUUUCAAACAUCAAGGUGCCAAUUUCAAUCUUAUUGAAUAUGCUUGUGAUUGUGGGUAACGUUACUCAAUCUCUCCUAUUCAUUUUUCCCACAAUUGGCGCAGGUAGAAGAAAAGAAGAAGAAGAAAUAGGGAUUCUUCCAUGCUAAAAAUUUAGUGCAUUGUAUAUUGUAUUCUAUGGUAGUUCUUUCAGAAAGGGUAUACAUUCUUUGUCCCCCCCCCCCCCCUCUCUUUAUUUUUGAUAAGCGACAAGGCAAUAGAAGUAAAUAUUCAGUUCCAAACACAAUAGAAUAAGACUCUUGACCCCAUUAUUAAAUUGAAAGAUCAAGUUUGCACAAAUAUUUGAUUCAUUUCAAACGUGACUUAAUUGGCAAUUUUUCGAUCUCUAUCAAUUUCGAUCAACAGUUUUCCAAUAACAAUGAUGAUAUUCAAGUUUGGAUGUAACUUCAUUUCAACUUCUAUAUCAUUCUGUAUCAUCAAAUUGGGUAUGCCCUUUCACCCAUGAUCAAUGAUGAUAUUCAAGUUUGGAUGUGAAAUUAUCUUCCCCAUGCCCAUCAACAAAUCCAUGCAACAAAAAAGUCCAUAUUUCCUUGAAAAUGUCUGUAGACCAUACCAUGUUUUUCGUGGCAAAACUCAUCACACCAUCGACCCACGUAAUCCCAGAUCAACUAAUGCUAUCCUUUUUCGUUUCAUGCUUUUUAUGUUUUCUUUUCAGGUAAUAAUUUUUUCUUUUAUCAAGUAUAUUUUCUUUUUUUUCUCUCAAUUUAUAAGGUUAUUCAUCCUAUGUGCUUUGUAAAGAUAUACACACUAAUUGAGGUUCGUAAACAGCAAUAUACAUACCUGACCUUUCCCAAGUAAUCAUACUGCACAUUUGUGCAUGAUGAUAAAGACCGCAUAUACAUGGGUGCCUGCCUAGCCAUGGCGUUUCAUUCGGGUGACCACGGCUAAUAUGGCAAUGUCUGGAACUGAUACGAGUAGAUAAUAUACAACUAAAGAAAUAUUGGAAGUUUGGAUGGAAACUAAUUGUAAACAGAGAAUACAAUUCAGAAACUGGUCGAAGAAAAUUAAUGUACUUUUCCUUUUUCACUACGCAUUUAUCCGAGCUAUCAAACAACUAUUUUACUUUUAAUUCCUGUAAUUUUUUUACGACGUAGUUAAAUCAUGAAUACUGGCUUUCCACGUUUAAAGCAAACAAUGACAGAUAAUUUCUGCAUUUCGAAAAGAAUAUAUGUUGUUUUGGCAUUAUAUGGGAACUUUAUCAUGACCUUAGAGGUAAUGUUAUAGUUGGAGAACUUAAGAUUAUACUUCCGCCCCAGAAAGUCUACUAUCAUUGAAGGGUUUAACAUCUUCAAAAUGUAACGAAAGAGGAGGAAACAAAGUUAGUCCUGAAAUCACAAAAUUUGUCAAUAACCUUUUUUAUAAUGUUUUGUGUGAAAAUGAUCUUUUUCCUCUGCAACUCGGUAGGAAGAUACAAGAUGAUUUAAGGGUAGUUGUCCUGUGAUUGUACACAUAUUAAUGAUAAUACCGACUUGUGACCAAAAAAAAAAAAAAAUUUGCAGCAUUUAUUGUCUUCAAUGAAUCAAGCUUUACAACUUACAAGAGACCCUAAGUAGUGUCGGUUACCAAUCCUAGACUCAAACUAAAGUAACAUCUUGAUCUGGUUUUGGAAAAUAACCUUGUUCUUGAACUUGUGCAAUUGUCUCAUUCAAGCUGAGGUCAAAAAUUGCAGCUUCAUCCAGAGCUGACAGCCCUCAAGUACUCCCUCAAGAACCCAUCCAAUGUGGUCCUCAACCCUAUCUAAGUGGGCAUAUAUGACACUUCUUGUUAGUUUAUAAUAAUAACAUUAAUAAUAGAGAUCAUAGUGGGUAUUAAACUAUAGCAAAUCUAUGCUAUGCAGCUAUUGGUAAUUGUAUAUUUAGGCUUACCCUUUACUUAACAGCUAGCUAUUGCAUUCCUACUUCCCGUACUUUAGCGAAUCAUGGCACGGCUCUUAGAAUUUGUUAAUUUGUUGGUUUCUUGGCGUCUCCUUAAAAGCUCAAUUAGAUGCUCCUUCCACAGAUGCCUUGCACGAGCUGGCCUUCCAGAACAAAAGAUAUGUAGAAUUCUAUGGCAUUUUUCUCAAUGCUCUAUAUAUCUAUUGUCUUAUCCUCUUCAUCCUCCACUGCGUCCUUUAAAAAAAAUGCCUAAACAUUCUUCAUCUUCUUCAGUGUAAUGUAAAAGUGGUUGCAGGACAACUGCAUGAGACAAAUUUACUAUAACAUCUCAUGAACUCGAAAGAUAAUUGGUUGUGAAAGAUAUCAGAAGAAUGUGGUACUUUGGAUCUUGAUCCCAUGGUGUCAAAGGGGUGAUUCCAAAACCAUCAUCUUGAAAUUGAGAGAUGAAAGGUAAGUGACUGAGAGUCUGUCAAUGAAAUUAUGAUAUUUUAUAUAUAAAAAAAGUAUUAAAAAUAGCCUCAAUACGUUAUUAAUCACUUUUUAGUUUUCAAUCAAAAUGUUAAUUCUAGGAUACGUGUAGGACUUUAAAGAAAUAUAAGAGUGGACUAUUGCAGGUUAAAAUGUUGUAUCCUAUUGAUAGACAAGAAUAACCAUGAAUCUUCUAAUUUUGAGUCUUUAUGUUAACAGAAGCUAUUGUUCAUCGGCAACUAUAUCCGUAGUCAAACAAUAUUUUGGAAUUCUUUUCCAAAAAAAAAAAAAUAUUUUUUGGAAUUAAAUUGCUUGCAGAAAGCUAUUUUGAAAUAUUCAACAAGUCUGUUUAAUUAAAUUGAGCCCAUUAAUGAACUUGCAUCUUGUUUCAACAUUCAAGUUUGGCUUACAAUUAUAAAGAAUUAGCUCUCGAUAAGUCGCAUUCGCUUUAAAGAAAGUCCUUGUCAAAGUGGGCUUCCAACUCUAAUUAUCAAAAUUAAUUCUAGCCUCCAAAAUUCUCAUAUCCAGCAUAUUAUUUUUCUUUUCCAGGUAACAUAUAUAUAAUUGAGUACUGAUACAGUUGAAUAGUUGGAGGGCGAAGAAACGAUUAUGGGCCUCACCAUUAUAUAUGUCCUUAGAUUCCAGAAUAUCAAUGCUGAUGCUAUAAAUAGUCUCAUAAUAUGAUCUGGAUUCAGUCCAAAAUUUGUGGUCUCAUUUAAUUUGCAUCACCCACUGUGCUGUUCAAAAUCAGUGUUCAGAGUUCAGAGUCCAUGAACACGUAUUCUUGCGUGGAAACUAGCAUGGUGCAAAUCUUUUAUUGUUUAUUCACUUGUCAUAAUAGUUCUGAUCAUACAACAUAGCCAACAAUUACACAGAAAUUUGUGAAUCAACCAAGACAAGGAGCAAAGUUCAAGUUAACGGUGCAAGUUUCAAUAAAAAAAAGCUAAGGAUUAGGUUGCUUUUUACCAAGUUAAAUGAUUUCUGUUAAGUUCGAAAGGUCAGCUUGUAAAGGCUAUAAACCACGAUGUAGGACCAAUUGUUACAAACUGCACUCCCCAAGCUCACAAGGGUUUAUGUAAUGAGCAGAAGACUCCUUCCCAGUUCCCACAAAGAGUAUCAUUUCUUGAUGCCAGAACUUGUCACGCUAGCUCUUUAAGGUAUUCUAAUGUUUGAUUUGAAAGAAUUGACGCCACAAAGUUGCCUCUGAAUUAAAGGCACGUUAAAUAGUGGAUGCUUUGGGUACUUUGUAUUGUAGACAUCAACUUUCAACCACUAUAUGAUCUUUGACCUCAUUUUCUUGGAGGAAACAAUAUUCUGAAAAUUACUUUAAGAAAGAAUGACACUUUAUAUGCAUAAAGUCCAUCAUUUACAUCUUUAAAUCAUCAACAAUUUGGUAACAAUCCAAUCACACAAAUGCUUUGGAACAAAUCACAGUAUAUUAAUAACCACCAAAUUAUUUGCCAGGGACAAAGUUUGUUGCAUAUGCCCAGGCAUUGUUGUUCACUGGAUCAGCAAGGUGAUCAGCUAGGUUCUCCAAAGGUCCUUUUCCAGUUACAAUAGCUUGAACAAAGAAACCAAACAUGGAAAACAUAGCCAACCUACCAUUCUUGAUUUCCUUGGCUUUAAGCUCAGCAAAAGCCUCAGGAUCAUCUGCCAAUCCAAGAGGAUCAAAGCUCCCUCCAGGAUAAAUAGGAUGAGUCACCUCCCCAAGCGGUCCACCGGCAAUUCUGUAGCCCUCCGCAGCCCCCAUUAAGACGACUUGUGAAGCCCAGAUGGCUAAAA